rnacentral:lncRNA from 1 species
UGGAAAACCAUCUUCAAGCCUGUCAAUUCUUAGUGUUUGCAAAGCUAUAAAGUUUGCAAAGAGAUUCUGGCAAAGUUCUAAUCCAAGAACCUGAAAUGUCAAGUGUAAAUGUAUUAGUUUGCCAAUGGAGGUCGGCAACUCUUUGACAUCUGCUCCAAACAAUUUUAGGACAUGCAAGUAUUUGAACUUAGAUAACUUUUCAUCAGCUAUGCCACCCUCCAGAAAUAAUGUGCGAAGUGAUGCUGAUGAUUUUUCAUUGAUUCUUUCGGGUGAGUAUACCGCAAGGUAACGGUCCUGAUUGCUGCUGUUACGAUUCAAAAUUGAUUUUGCAAAAUCGUGCACAAGAUCAUGCAUUUUAUACCAUGUUCUCCACUCCUCUUUAACUUCUUCCAUAAGGAAGUUUGCAGCAAAGUUCUCAGAUACUCAUAUCCUAUUUUCUCCAUCGUUCUUUCAUUUUGGAAUCCGGUUGAAGAAAGCCUUCAGCCAUCCAAUGCUCAACUAGUAGAUCUUGUUCCAAUUUAGUAUCUUGAUCAAAAAUUGAGCAAUAUGCAAAACAUUUCUUAACCGGUGCAGGUGACAGAUGAUCGAAACUCACCUUAAUUAUUUGCUCAAUCCCACCUUGAUCUCCAUUCAAGAGACUCUCCUCCAAAAUAGAUAGCCACUCCUCUUUUCUCUUUUUAGAUAACAAACCUCCGAUUAACUUUGCUGCCAGAGGUAGACCAUCACAUCUUCUUAAAACUUGCUCCUUAUGUCUUCCAAUUCUUUUGGUACUUCUUCCGCCACAUUUGCCCAUUUUUUCAUGAUAGACCAGCAGUCAUCAUUGCAUAGCCUUCCUAUCUCAUGGCGAGUAAAAUUGAUCGGCGGAUGUCUAGACAGAAUAGUUGCCACUUCUUGCAGACGAGUGGUAACAAGACACCAGCUCCCUUUCUUAGCAUUGAGUCCCGCCAAAGUGCUGAAAAAGUCAUCCAACAAUACUUCUUGAUCAUUCCACAAAUCAUCAAGAACAAGGAAAUAUCUUUUUUCCUUGAGUUCAUGCUGAAUUUUUUGAACUAUUACCUCCCUACGAUCCCCUUCAACCUUUCCUCCUAUUAACGAUUCUAGAAUCAUUUGAAGACCACCUCAAUUCUAUCUACUUUUUCAGCCACACAAACCCACAUUGUUUGGUCAAAAUGCCCAACAAUUUGCUCAUUUUUGUAAAUGGCUUUAGCUAGAGUUGUUUUGCCUAAACCACCCAUGCCAGUUAUGGGAAUAACUGAAAUAACACUUUCAGUUUCGGUCAACAACUUCUUAACUAUUUCUGAUUCAUCCUCGUCUCUUCCUAGGACAUCUCUUCGAACAAUAGUAGAGUCGGUCUGUCGGCUUGUUGUGGCUCCAGCUGCUAUAGUAGCGAAUGCUACUUCAACUUGGUGCUUGUAGGCCAGUCCCAAACCUUCGGCAUCCCGAUGGAUCCUUUGAAGGUUCGUGUUGAUCUCCCUGAUCAUUGAACCCAACCUCCAACGAAAACCAAUUUUAUUAAAGAAUGAAAAGCAGAAGAAUACCUUCUUUUUCGUGAGUUGAUUUUGAUACUUCACCUUCCGACGAAGAUUUUCAUAGUUGAGCUCGUCCAGCACAUUGUCAGCUUUGAAAACCUCUUCUUCCAGCUGCUUGAGCCACUUUUGUACCCAACAAGCUUCGGAUCAUGGCUAUGCAUUUCCUCAUCAGCACCGGCCAAGAAGCCUCGGAUCAUUUCAGCAGAAUCGUUGAGUCUCUCCAGCUCCGUUGGGAAUUCACGAACCAGAUUAACAUGAUCAGCGGCAAGGGAAACAACCGUCUGCAACCCAACCUGAAUAGUAGCACUAACAGCGCAUCAGCCAUUUUUUCUCGCUUGGGAUUGGAAUUAGGAUGAAAGUGUUCUGCAAUGGUGAUGAGGGGAUGCUUUCUGCGAUGAGACAAGGAAGGUAUGGUUCAACUUUGGCAACUAAGGGCAGCAAAAUGUGUGGAGGCUAACACUUGCGGGAAUGAAAAUUUUCCACACAACUUUUUACACUUCCAAGUAUUUCCACUUUUUGCAAUUUGCCCCCCGGCUUCACGUUAAAUUCUGUGUAGUGUAAUCGGAUAAUUCAAGACAAGUGUGAAAGUAAAGCAUAUGACAAAGAAGGCAGCACGUUGCAACCUGAUAUAUACGGACAAGAAGGGAAUAUUUCUACAAAAGCAAGUGGUGACCUAUAACCGGGGUUUGGAAAUGUUGCGUACUGCAGAAGCUGGAAAUGUGUUGGAGUGUCACGAAAUUAAUAUAAAUAUAAAGGGCCUAGAAUAAAACACGAAAAGGAAGCGUAAGCAGUACUAACACACCAGCCAUGCUUGGCUUUGAAACAACAUAUGGUCAUUAAUGAAUAAGGAGUUGAGAGCCUUUAAGAAGUGAAACUUAAGAAAAUAAAUGUUUGAAAUAUUAAGUUUUUUAAUUAUCUAAUUUAUUUUGAUUUAUAGACGUUCUAAUAUAUAGUCAUUUGGAGGACUUCUAUAGCUGAAGUACUGAAUCCUUUUUGGACUUUUAAUAAAUUUGAGUUAUUUUUCUUUUGAUUUCUCACUUUUCUAACAACUUUUAUCUAAUCUACUAAAUUUGAAUUAUUAAAAUUGAGUUUUAAUUGUUAUAGUAGUAAAAUAUUAACAUUUGUGAAAACUGAGUUUGUGGGAAGAUAGACUAUUGCUCGUUUCACAUUUAAUUGAAUACAAAUAUCUCUACUUUACAUAAAGUGUCCAAGGCUGAGGAACAGUGAAUUCCAAUUGAUUCUCCCGAUUAUGGCAUACAUCAACAAAAUACUAUCUAUUUAUGGACAUUUUACUCUGAAUCAUUACAUUUAUGUAAAAUACAUAAAUAUUGUAACUAAAAUUGAAAAACUGUUACACUAAUAUUUUUACGAAAGGAAAAUUGAUUGUCCUGUAUUUAACAUAAACUGAUUUUUGUGAAAGUAAAAAACAUAUUGCCCAUAACAUACCUGCUCUUUAUGGUUUUUUGCAUUACAUCAACAAAAUACUAGCUAUUUAUGGGCAUUUUAUUCUGAAUCAUUAUAUUCAUAUAAAUAUAUAAAUGCUUGUAAUAAAAUUGAACAAGUGUUACACUAAUAUUUUUACGAAAGGAAAACUAGUAAAUUUUGUAUUUAACAAAUUUUAAAUAUGUGAAAGUAAAAAAGUUUUGCCAUAACAUACCAGCUCUUUAUGAGUUUUUUGCAUUACAUCAACAAAAUACUAACUAUUUAUGGAUAUUUUACUCUGAAUCAUUACAUUUAUGUAAAAUACAUAAAUAUUUGUAACUAAAAUUGAAAAAGUAUACUUUUACGAAAGGAAAACUAGUAGAUUUUGCAUUUAACAAAUUUUAAAUAUGUGAAAGUAAAAAAGAUUGCGCCCAAAACAUACCAGCUCUUUAUGGAUUUUUUUGCAUUACAUCAGCAAAAUACUAGCUAUUUAUGGGCAUUUUACUCUGAAUCACUACAUUUAUGUAAAAUACAUAAAUGUUUGUAACUAAAAUUGAAAAAGUGAUACACUUAUAUUUUUACAAAAGAGAAACUGGUAAAAUUUGUAUUUAACAUAAAUUAAAUAUGUUAAAGCAAUAUUAAAGGUGAUUUUAUUAGUUACUUAAUUUGUUGGUAAGAAACAAGGUUUCUUUUGCAAAAUUUGUUCAUUAGAUUUUUCCAAAUAAUUAGGAUGUAAAGGUAAAUUUUCACAAUCUUUUGUUAGCAAUAGACCCUAAUUUCCUCCUAGGCAGUGACGAAGCCAAGAUUUUUUUCUUGGAGGGAGGGCCAAAAUGAUUGAUAAAUAAAAUUAUUUUAAUAUGUUAUGUUCAAAAUAAUUUUCAUCUAUUUAAAUAUAUGGCAUCCUAAAAUAUCAAAUAUUAAGUUUAAUUAUAAAAGUAUGUCUAUUUAAUAAAUAUGUAGUAUAGUCAUAACUAAAAUUAAAAUAAGAAAUAACAUUUGAUUAAAUAUCUUAUAGGAAAAAAUGAACUUUUCAUCUUCAAAGUUUGGGUGGUUGGCCAAUUUCAUCCUCAAAGUUUCACCCCAAACAUAUUGCAUCCUCAAAGUUUCGUAAUUUUGGCCAAUGAAGGACAAUUGACGGGAAAUGAAGAAUUGAUCGUUAGAACCAACGAUUUUACCCAACAAAAAAUGGGUAAAACCGAAUAGAGCCAUUUUUAAUGGAACAAUUGCAACGAACAAAGGCUCAAUUCUUCUCCUUCUUCGCGCUGUCUUUCUGCAACCCCAAAAUUUUUUUGCCAAUCUCUGGAGUUUUAACGACCGUUAUACAACUUUCAAAAUAAAUAAAUUCAUUCUAAAUUUUUAUUUGGGAUUAUUUCAUUAACCAAAUCGCGUCACUUUGUGUAAAGUAUCACUUUCCCAUAAAAGACCUGCUCUUUAUGGCUUUCCUCUAUUAUAAGAACAUGGUACCCAUUUUUUAUAACUAAAUUUAUUUAUUGAAUAAAAUAAAAAUAAAUUCAUUUUCUAAUAAAAGACCAGCUCUUUAUGGCUUUCUCCAUUAUAAGAACAGAGUACCCAUUUUCUCAUAAAUAAAUUUAUUUAUUGGAUAAAAAAAAAUAAACCCGUUUUUCAAUAAAAGAUCAGCUCUUUAUGACUUUCCUCCAUUUUAAGAACAGAGUACCCAUUUUUCCAUAAACAAAUUUAUUUAUCAGAUAAAAUAAAAAUAAACCCAUUUUUUCAAUAAAACACCAGCUCUUUAUGAUUUUCCUCCAUUAUAAAAACAGAGUACCUAUUUUGAAAGCAAAAAGAAAUUUGUUUAUCGGAUAAAAUAAAAAUAAACUCAUUUUUCAAUAAAACACCAAUUCUUUAUGACUUUUUUCCAUUAUAAGAAAAGAGUGCCCAUUUUGUCAUAAACAAGUAACUUCUUUAAUUAGAAACCAUCGACCCCUUACCAAAGACGAUCAAAUGCAACUAAAUGAUUUUCUUGCAAGAAAGUUGCCAAAAGCAGCUUUGUGACUGUAGUUGCUACUUUUUUUUUCAACAUUUUUCUAGCAAGAGGUAUCAUUAAUGUCAAUAUUGAGAUAUAGCAAAAAUUUUAUACGAAAUAACAAACCAAUUUGUCAUUACAAAUACAAAACGAGCAACAAUAUAUUACAACCAAUACUAUCAACAGUACAAAGCACAAAGAUACUCAAAUCAAAUCCUAAUUAGGCUUUAAUAUGUACAACCAAAAUUGCCAGGGAUAACAAAUGCUAAGAUAGACGAUGUCCGAUAUACAAUGAGUAUCAUGUUUGCAUUAAUUGGCGAAGUCCAUAAUCGAAGUAGCUUGUAAGAGCUUCAUAGCCAGGUUUACUACAAUCCACCAUCAACCUACAGAGUCCAAUGGAAAAAAAAUUAUUAAACAGAAAUUUACAUUGGUAGUUAGAUAAAUUAAACCUGCAUUAGCCUACAUAUAUCAACUAAGACAUUGAUCCUCAUAUUGUUGCAUGAAAAGAAAUGAAAAUGAGGGACUUUAAAAGAAAUGCUAAGGAUCACUUUUAUUAACCACAAGUACAAAAUGUGAACUGAAUUUCAAACUACAAGUUGGUAGCAUGUACUUAAGAUGAAGAAAUCAUUAUGACCCCAAUUGACAUGAAACCAAUCGUAAAGUAACGCCAAGGCUGUUUCCUUCAACACAAAAAUAGUAAAUGCAUUCACUCAUUCAAAAUUGAGAAGUAGCUAAACAAGCGUAACUUUCGGACUUGGAAAGCAUGAAAUGAACUUGGAAAAAGGAAUUAGAUUUUACUACCAACAAGGCUUCCAAGGUGCAAAUAGCCAAUGAGAUCCUUUUUUUUAAUCCUUAUUAUUUUUGUCCAGUAUGUUCACUUAAAAGAAAACUAUAUUCUAUUUACUAGAUCUUUAGUUAAGAAAUAAACAAAAAAUUAAAUCAUCAAAAAGCAAAAAGACCAAAGGCAUUAAAACUUGCACAAACAUUCAGGAGGAGGAGAAGUUAUCACCUAAGAGAAUCACAUGCAACGCAAUGAAAGCAUUAGAAUUAACCCAAAGGAAGGGAAAAAAUAUGCUUCAUGAAUGGUCCUACAACACCGAAACACAAAACAAUAGAUAAUGAUGAACCACCACAAACCAGUCCAAAGACAAGCAAAAUCACCUACACCAUCAAUCCUAAUCACCAACCGGAGUAGAAAAUCAUCCAAAAUUUCAGUAAGUCACCGAAUAAAUAAGGCUUAAAUCUUAGAACAUGUCAUAAUCAGUGUUUAGCAUUCAAAAAUUGUGUAAUACAGGGGGUUUGGGACAACAAAAGGGGACAAUUAGGGCUGGGCAACGAGAGGUACGGAGGAAUGGAAACGAGAGUGGUAAAGAGAGGAGAUUGAACAAUACGACAAAGCAGGGGAAAAAUCAAAUCGUGGAAGGAAGAAUUCUAGUAUGAAAAUAUGUUGGAGACUACCUGAAAUCUUAGAUCUGAAAUUUUGACGGGCCGUUUUCAUUUUGCCUUCCAGUAAGACCCCUUUCUCUACUCCAACUGAGAUGCCCAUUCACUCUAAUCCACUGAAGUAGAAGCCUACAAUUUCAAAAAGUUUAUCUUGCGAUUGUUAAAUUGACCAAAAUGCAAGAAAAAGGCAAUUGACAAAACAGAGAUGAAAAUAACAUAUUAAAAACCUACACUACACUGUCUUUUCCUUGAAGUCUGCCAUUGCAUCGGAAGGGUCUUUAAAGUGUGUCCAUGAUUGUAUAAAUUCAGAUCUGGAUGCUAGAGAGGAAGAGGGGAACCAUAUGUCUACGGGAAACUGAAAAUUGAUAGAGAGGGAAAGAGAGAUAGAAGGAGAAAGGUGCAGGGGAGGUUGCGAUUGAACUUUCGAGGGCUCUGAUCUGAGAACAAUAUUUGGGAAAGUAGCCUGCAAGUAUGGAAGGCUUGGAAUUCAUGUGGUGCUAGGCUUGACAAGUGCUGUGCCGGGAAUGGUUAAAAAAUUUUCAAUGCGCGGCUCUGCUAAAAAUUGGAAGGGAGCAAAAUUUUGAAAUUUUCACAAAAAGCACCCAUGAUUUCUCACCAAUAACAUAGAAACUUUGGCCCACUAGAAUCAGUAUUUGGAGGGAAGCUUUCCGCGCUCCUUUUGGCGAGAAUUUUAAGCGAGAAAAGUCCUUGCCCUCGCAGAGUAUAUGAUGGCUCCAAUUUUUGGUGAGGUAUUGUCCUUUUCUUUGCUAUAAGCCUCUUAAGAGCGUCAAGCUUUCUACUUCUUGCUAAAGUUGUUGUCGCUAAUACCCUUUUUUGUUGUAGUGAACGGAGGAAAACCAUAAAGAACUGGUGUUUUAUUGAAAAAUAUAUUUAUUUUUUCAUCUGAUAAAUAAAUUUAUUUAUGAAAAAAUGGGUACUCUAUUCUUAUAAUAGAGGAAAACUAUAAAGAGCUUGUGUUUUAUUAAAACGGGUUCAUUUUUAUUUUAUUCGAUAAAUAAUAUUUUUUUAGAAAAAUGGGUACUAUAUUCUUAUAAUGAAGGAAAGUCAUAAAGAACUGGUUUUUUAUUGAAAAAAGAGUUUAUUUUUAUUUUAUUCGAUAAACAAAUUUGUUUAUGGCAAAAUGGAUACUCUUUUCUUAUAAGGGAGGAAAGCCAUAAAGAGCUGAUGUUUUAUUGAGAAACGGGUUCAUUUUUAUUUUUUGAUAAAUAAAUUUUUUUAAUCCAUAAAUAAAUUUGUUUAUGGCAAAAUGGGUACACGGUUCUUAUAAUAGAGGAAAGGCAUAAAGAGUUAGGAUUUUAUUGAAAAAUGGGUUUAUUUUUAUUUUAUCUGAUAAAUAAUUUUUUUUAGGAAAAUGGGUACUCUGUUCUUAUAAUGGAGAAAAGUCAUAAAAGUUCAUUUUUUUUAUUGAAAAAUGGGUUUAUUACAAUUUUAUUCCAGCCAACUGUGACCCAUUUUCCCACUAACCUAAGUCAGACGGACUAAAUCAUUGAGUUUGUUAACCACAGUCAAAAUUAAUACAGAAGCAGCUGACUCAAAUCACUCAAUCCUUUAUGGCUUAUACCAAAUGAAUACUAGGAAGCUUAUUUGAAAUAACAAUAAAAUUUUUAUAAAUAAAAAAUUUAGUACAUUAGUUAGUAAGUACUCGUAACAUACUUGUAUAAUGCAUGAUUAUAUGUAUAAUUUAAUAUUCUUUGUACUUAUAUAUUUUAAAAUAUUUUGUGAAAAAUAUUUUGGCCUUUCACAUAACCUUAGAAAAUAAUAAAAUUUUAUCGUAUUAUAAAAUAAUAAUUUUAUGUUAUUAUAUUCAUAGGUGUUAAGUUAUAAAAAUUGUGAUAUAGAAACAAGUGAUAUUCUACAUGUAACUAGGAAAUUUGUUGUUAUCGUUAUCCAAAUUUCAAAUUUUUCAAAAAUUGAAAAUGAUUACAAACUUACUUUUCUACAAUUAGUAUAAUUUGUUAAUUAGCCAAAAUUCUAGCAAAAGGCAAGCAAAUGCAACUUGUAAUCAAUCCAUUCUGAUGCAUGUAAAAAUAAGGUAGCAUUGUGCAAAUAAAUAAAAAAAUCCACUUUAUAUAGUUCGUUGUGACAACAGGCUUAUCCCCACUUUUGUUUGAGUUUUGAUUACAAUGGAUAUAACCUAUUCCCUCCAAACCCAAAUUUUGAAUUAUAACAUUCAACCAAAACAUGCUUAAACUCUCAGGCUCGGUCAUACAAGGACAACUAGUGUGAAUAUCCAUGCUACGCACGGUGCUUACAUUAUUAAAAUAAAUUAAAAAAUUAUACCAUUUUAAUUUGAAAAAAGUUAAAAAAAUUAUACCAACAUAAUUAAAAUUUAAGAUUUGUCUAACAAUAGUUCAAAGUAUGACAAAAACUGUAAAUCAUUCAAGAAUUGUGUUUUUGCAGAAGAUGGAUCUUAAAAUAAUAAUAAUAAUUUAUAUUAGAAAAUGAAUAAUAUAUGGAUAGAAAUAAAUGUAAUUGCAUGUUUUAUUUGAUUUUAAAAUGAAAUACUUACCAACAUUAUGCAUUUGAUUUGAUAAUCUUGUACAAAGGUGCGAAUAUUUUUUACACCAAUCAACUUUUAGUAUGAAAAUUAAUAUUGGUGGUUUAAUUAAUUCUAUUGAAUUUUGAAGAAUUCGUACUACAAAAAAAGUUCAGCAAGACUUGUAUUUUUUUUAAGUGAACUUGCUGAAUCUUUUUAAAAUAUUUCAUUGGGAUCACUAUGGUGUGAGAUUCGCUUUGUGAUUAGUUAUUUUUUUUCUUUGUAAUCUUGUAGGUUUGAAAUUAAGAUGCCAUUGAAAUCAAUAAUGGAACCAAUGGGGGCUAAUGGAGGUCAUAGCCCUCCUCCCCAAGUUUUAAAAAUUUUAAUUCAUAUUAUAUAAAUAUUUGUGUAAAAUAAAACAGGUCCUCCAAAUUUAUUAUAAUUUUAGUUUAUAUUAUGAGAAUAUAUAUAAGUAUAUAUGUGUGCGUGUGUACGUGAAAUAACUACAUUUGGGUGGGAUCACCAUAGUGUAAAAUUCAUUUUGUGAUCAGUUAUUUUCUCUUUUGUAAUCUUGCAGGUUUGGAACUAAGACGCUAUUGAAAUUUGUUUGGAUAGAGUGUUAUUUAAAAUAUUAUUUGAAAUAAUUAUGAUAGUACUUUUUGUGAUAUGAUGUAUGUGAGAUAAAAAGGUGGGUUGAAAAAUGUGUUUAUGAUGUAAGCAAAAUAUUAUUUGGAAAAAUCUUCUAUCCAAACACUCCCAAACUAAUAGGGGCUAAUCGGGCCAUAGGUCCCUUCUUCCCAAAGUUUUAAAAAUUUUAAUUCAUAUUGUGUAAAUAUUUGUGUAAAAAAAAGUUAGCCCUUCUAAUUUUUUUAUAAUUUUAGUUUAUAUUAUGAGAAUAUAUAUAUAUGUAUAUAUGUAUGCGUGUGUGUGUGAAUUAACUACCUUGAAUUAAUUUUUUAUUAAAAAAUUAUUUAUUUUUUAAUCCCUUUAUAAUUUGUGAAUGAUUGUGAGAGUAAAUAUAUUAUGACAAUAAGAUACGUUGAAUUGUGAAAAUUGAAUUUAAACAAGCUACUAAAUUUUGGAUAUUUGACUUUUGUAGUUGAAUUUCUUAAAUUAACGAUUAGUUAUUACUAUCAGUGAUAUGAUAAGUGUCAGUAAUAAAUGUGAGAUGUGAAUUGAAAUUUGCAGAUAUCAUUUUACAGGGUGGUUAUUAUCUGUUUGUUAAAGUUUAGGAGUUUGAAUUUUAUGGGGUAGUGGAAAAACGUGAGGGAAAUGUGGGAAAAAUAUGAGCAUGAUUAUAGGAUUUAGGAGCGGUUACAUGAUUAGUUAAGAGAUAAACAUUUUUUAAUUAUAAAAAUGUAAAAUUCUAUUAAAAUAGCAUUCAAACUUUUGACAAUUUUGGAAGCUCCUUAUCCAAAACCCCCUCAGCAAUACAUAUAGAUAUACUCAACGAUAGUUAUGGUAGCGAAAUAGUUUUUACCUAAUAUAACAUGUUGUUGCACUUUUAACGAUCAUUUGAUUUAUUGUUGGACCUAUUCACCUAAAUAGAAUAACACCUAAAAUUAUGGAAGUAAGUUUCCUAUCUAAAAUAGUAAGUUAAGCCUAAUAAAUUAGUAACUUUUAUACCUCAAAAGGUAAAUUGGAAUAAAUAUUAAACUUAAUUUUUAAAUAAAUAGAUUACUACUUUAUAUCCCAAACUUACUUUUAAAAGAGUAAGUUUAGUUCAAAUAACAGUAAGUUUUUAUACAUAAAUAGUAAUUCUUACUAAUAACAUGGUAAUAAAAAUGAUUAAGGAUCAAAAUUUACCAUUUUUUGGAAUACAUGUACAAUUUUUACAUUAAAACCUUAUCUCAAAGUAGUAUUAGGAAGUUUAUUUGAAAUAAUAAUAAGAUGUUUUAUUAAUGAUUAAAACUUAGUACCUUAGUUAGUAAGUACUCAUAAUAUACCUGUAUAAUAAAUAACUAUGGGUAUAAUUUAACAAACCAGAUUUACGGGUCUUAUUUAAAAUAAAGUAAUAGUUUAUUCAUUAUAAAUUUAAUGCUUAAAUUUAUUAAAUUCUUCAUUUUAUAUGCUUACAGUGUUUAAGUUCUCCGCCAAGCUUCGCGUCUUUUUUGCUGCCUUACUUUCACUUACGACCCUCUCACUUUGACAGUUGUUUAUUUUAGGCACUUCACAUUUCAUCUUUACACUUUGGAAUUCCCUCAACUUUUCCUAUCCCUUUUCCACUUAACUUCAAUGCCCAACAAAUCUUUAGGUUCCAGGUCACAAAAGACCUUUACACGUGUCUAUCCAACAGACUUUACCUACCAUUUGUGGCCACAAUCAUACCGCAGCAACUUUCCACACCUUUUCUCUGACUCCUAAACAUACCGCAGCAACAUCCCUGGCUUCACUCUGCCAAGCUACACUCCAAAGACGGGUAAAUUCUGUAGUGUAUUCGACUUUUUCUUUCUUUUUAUGUUUUCAAAAUCUACUCUAGACUUGCGUAAAUGCAGAUUGGCAAGUUCUAACUUCUAGUGCUGGUUUUUAAAUCACCUUGGUUUAUUAUUUCCAUAUUUUAUUUAAGCUAUUAAAUGUUGAAGAAAAUAUAGAUGUAACCCUUGAUUAACUUUCCAAAAUUUUGGAUGAAACUUAAUUUUCUUUUACUCGUUCGAUUCAAUACCAGAUUUUACUCCCGUCCUUGUAUAUUUACCCAAUCAAAGUUCACAGCAGUAAUAGCUUUCAUUACUUCUUUUUUUCCUCCAAACAUAAAAAAGAAGAAAUUGAAAUAAAAAAUGAUAAAUACCAUUAAAGAUUUGGUUUAAAACCUAUAACGACAUUUGUAGUAAAAAAAGAUUUGGCAUUUUUUGUUUCUUAUUUAUUUGUUUUAUUUUUUCCUUCCAUCUUUUUUUGUUAUUUAUUUAUUUAUUUUUUAUUUCCCUUUCAUCUUUUUUGUAUUUAGACAAAAUUAAGAUUUUGUAGGUCAAAGCAUAAAUUUUCAAAAUCAUCUCUUCUCUUCCCAAAAGAGAGAGAGAGAAGGAAAAAAGAAAAAAAGAAAAAAGUUGUGAAAGGGUAAAUUUAUUAAUUUAUUAGUUUGACUUUGACAUUUUAUUAUUGACCGUUAAAUUUAAUUGAAAAAACUAAUGGUGUCACUUUAACCCAAACUAUGUUUAAACAAUAGGGAAGUUAUAUAACAAGGCACCAAACCAUAGGGGGUAAUAAGUAAUUUACCCUUGAUAUUUUCGUUUACAUCACAGAAAGCAAUAAUUAAAGUUAAAUUUAAAAUUAUCUUGCUCAUUCGUGUGAUUUAUUCAUCUUGAAUAGGAAAAUUUGGAAAGUUUUCUAAUGAAUAUUCUUUAACCACCCUUGUAAGGAAUUAUCAAAUGUAUCAAUCGAUCAAUUCUACUAUUUACUAACCUUAGUUACUUCAUGUAAUCAGAGAAAUAGUCUAAAUGAAAGGGAAAAUGAAAGUUAUUGCAGUCAAUGUCUAGGGUUUGGACAAUUUUCAAUUCAUUGAAAACAUAUUUAGUACAGUGAAUUUACAAUUAGUUUUCAAACCUAAUUUUUAGGGGUUGGGCAUUUAGUCCUAUAAUUUUAAUUUACAAUCAAUUUAGUACGAUUGGCAGCAAAUCAACUAGGGAUGGCAACGGGAGCGAGCACCCGUGGGGGGUCAUUGGGGCGGGGAUUGGAGCGGGGCCUAGGGGAAUUUUUCCCUCCCGUUUAGAAACGGGGCGGGGGGCGGGGGUAUACUCCCCUGUCCCACCCCCGCCCCGCCACCCGUAUGAAUAUAUAUAUAUAUAUAUAUAUAUAAUGAUAUUAUCAAUUAUACUACUAAUUAUACAUGUCUAUUAAUAAAAAUUAUUAAUUAUUUAUACUAAAUUUAUUAAUACAUUUAUGUUAAAUUCCUAACUACACUUAAUACAAUAACACUUUUUUCUAAAAAAAAACACAAUAAUAAUUUAGUGAUUGUAUUUGUAUCAAAAGUGAAAACUUGAUUAUUUUAGUUAUAUUUGUUUUAUCAUAUUAGAUUGUAUUCAAAUAACCUUUGUUUAAUUAUUUUUAUGAGUUUCAAUUGUGAAGUUACAAUGAAUAAUAACUUGGUGAUGUAUUGAUAUUUUAGUACUUGAUUAUUUGCUUAAAUUUAAUUAUAAUAACAUUAUAUAAUAAUUUUUUUUAACCCCGCGGGGGAAGUGAGGCGGGGCGGGGGAAGCCGGAGGCGGGGGAUGGGAGGGGCGGGGGCGGGGGGAAUUAAAAUGCAACGGGGCGGGGGUUGGGGGAGGUGUCCCCCGCCCCAUUGCCACCCCUAAAAUCAACCAAUUUGAACGGAAAAAAUUUUUUUUGCAAAUAGAUUAUUUAGUCCUUGAAAUUUUUAUGAAAAUUAUCUUUUAUCCAUGAUCUUUCACUUUAUCCCAUCUAGUCCUUUUAUUGUUCUUUCUUCUAACACCGAAAGUAGUUCUUGUUUCACUUUCUUCUACCAUCAAAAUGGCCGGUUUUAAAAAGUUGACCAAAUUUUUAACUUUCUCUAAUAAAAUCUUUACUUUCUUCUCAUUUGUUUUAUUAUCUUUCGCACACAAUUUCUUCCUUGUCAUCUUCACUUUCUUGGACUACUUCUGCCAUUUUCUUUUUGAUGUAGUCUCUUCUUUUUCUCUACUCCCUGUUUUCGUUUAUUUAAUCCUUUUACCUUUUUAUUAACACCAAAACUUCCAUCACCAAAACAAACUUUUUCCAUCACCAAACUUAGUGGCUUUAAAGCGCACGACAAAAGUUUCAACAAUUCUUUUUGAGAAAAAAAAAUGUUUUUUCUUUUUUGUUGUUUCCUUUUAUUUUUAUAUAAUUUUUCAUUUUCUUUCUUAUUUUCUCCAACUAUUUUCACCAUUUUCUCUUGUAUUAAUCUUUCCUACAUUUCUUGGUGUAGAAAUUGUAUUACACUAACAAGUGUAGAUGCAUGCCAAAUAAUAUUCAGAGAUUCACAUUUUAAAUUGUUCAUUUGCAUGUGCUGUGCAUCCCAAUCCACUCACGUACUACACCGAUAAUAUGGAGGAGGCAACGUAAGUGAAAGAUACUGGGCAGAUAAAGGAAGAGGCUGAAUAUUAAGAAGGGAGAGGAGACAGAGUGGGAAGUGUUGAUGGUGCGCAAAGUACAAAUUCAUUGACUUGCUUUGUCCGUACCACGGAAAGUGCCAAUGUAGUAUUCUUCUUAGAUUGAUGUAGUAGUACAAAAGGGUCCAAAUACUACUAGUAUUUAAUCUAUAGUUUAAAGUACAUCAGUGAGGAGGUCAAGGUCUGAAGGACCCAAUUAUUUAUGCUUUAACACAUUACUAUUAAUUGCACCCUGAAGCUCCUUUAAUUUCAAGAGAUACCCAUAUUAUUUAAGGGUAGUUGUUAUCCCACCAAAAUUGUGACUGUAGUUUUUUGAUGACAUCGUUUCCAACCUGGAAUGCUUUGGUAAGAACAUCAGGAGAAAUGGGAGGAUCUGAUCCGAAUACAGCAUUAGCAAUGGUGAUGACUCCUGGAUUCUGGCUGCCUAGACCAGCAAAAGCAACAGCGUCGGUCUCUCCUUGGUUGAAUUGGAAAUGAAUGAGGCCUUGAGGGAACACAAACACGUCUCCUGGAUUCAAAACCUUGGUGAAGAGCUUAUUCUUCAUGUUCAUGCCCGGAUUCGAAGUAACGAAACCAACAACAAGAGUGCCCUCCAAAACAAAGAGGACCUCGGUAGCACGAGGGUGAAUGUGGGGAGGGUUCAAACCAUAAGGCGCAAAGUCGAGGCGUGCUAAGGAAACACCUAAAGUGUUGAGCCCUGGAAUUUGGUUCACAUUUACUUGUGUUACAUUGGACCCGAGUGGCUUUGCUGUGCUUCCUGGCUUGUUUAGCCCUUGAAAGAAGAAAUCUUCGGGUUCCACAAGCUUUGGAUCCUUGCAUAUCUUUCCAUUGACAAAUACUGCAUUAACCAAGAUCAUGAAACAUCAGUUAAAGUAUAACAUGCAACAUUAUAGUACUAUCAAACAAGACAGUCAUGAAAUUUUCCAAAACAAGAUCAGAAAGUUUACCACCGCCAGCAUUGGCAUCAGGAACUGCGACGCAGAAAUCCUGCAAUGGACUUGGAUCAGAUGCAUGGACAAUUGUAAAAACAAGUGCCAAGAUGGCUGCAGCUAUGUGGAAGCGAAAAGCCAUGCUUAUCAGAGACGAAGUAUCAAACUAUAUGAGCUAGUUAGAAAGAUGAAAAGUUGUUUCUUCUCAGAUUGUGGAUGAAUAUGUGGUAAAGAUUCCUAUUUAUAGCUAUCUUUGGUUGAACCAGUCAUUAUGUUUUCUUAUCUCAACGAUUAGAAAAAUGCCACAUUGUCUUCCUAAUCUAUUUUUGUACAACUCAACCAACGAAUGAUUCUGCAACAACUACCUGUGACUUCUCAUUUUCUUUCCUCUUGCAAGUAUAGAAAGACUGAUUCGGUCAUUUAGGACAUUCCAACGAAGUGGUAUACUGAUACAAGGUGUUGACGGACCAAGUAACCGGUAAGACCUUUUCUUGAAGAGAUGGCCUUUGAUAUUUCUUGCUUCCAGAUGUUUACUUUCUUACCUCAGUAAAACGAUGCAUUAGUUGCAACUAAUCAGUUUGAAAUUCGCAGGCUCAAUCCAACUUUACAAAGUAGCAUCUGGGAUUAGCACGAAAGAAUCAAAUAUAUGGUAAUCGUCUGGGAGUAGAGGACCUAAUUACUUCGGAUAAUUAUACAAAGAUAGCUCAGAACUUGAAUUUCAAACUUCUUUGGCAAAACCUAUGAUAUGUAAUUAUAUUUGCAUAUUUUAGCUAGCUGGAAUACCAAGCAUUCAUUUCCUAUUUCCUGUCUGUGCAAAUAAUUCCUGUUUGCGGGUGAUAAAUAUUCCAAUCAAUAGCACCUAAAUAUAUAGACCUCUUUUCAUUGCCUGUUUCUUGUCCGUGUAACUCAGCGCAUUUCUGGACUUUUUCUUUCCAAAAUCAUCUCAGAACUUGCGAAUAGGCAGCUUGAAAGUUCAAAGUUAAUUCUACCUUCUAAGUGACAGCUUGAUCAUCUUAGUUUGAUAUUGCCGUGUUCUAUUUAAGCUAUUAAAUAUUGAAAAAGAAAGGAAGAUGUAACCCUUGAUUAAUUAUCCAAAAUUUUGGAUGAAACCAAUUUCAAUUCACUCAAUUCAAUUUAAAAUCCAGAUUUCAAACCCAUUAAUUACCCUAUUAAUUAUUGGAGUAAUUUAUAUUUUCAUUUACAUCAAAAUGAAUGAAUUAUUUGAGGUUAAAAUCAGGUUUAUGGUUCGACAAGUAGGUUUGAUAACUGGGAGUAGAAAUGGUGUAAAAAGGGGUGGGAGGGUUAAAAAGAAUAUUUGAAGCUAAAAUCAUAAAUUAUCCUGCUCAUUUAUAUGAUUUGUUCAUCUUGAACAGACAUUAUCUUGAAUACUUAGGAAAAUUUUCUUGUAAAACUAAAAGAACUAAUUUUAAAGAAUAUUCAUAUUAAGCACACUUGUAGAGAAUUAUCAUAUGUAUUAAUCUAUCAAUUAUAAUAUUUAUUAAACUUAAUUUAUACGAUCUGGAAAAAUAGUUUGAAAGGGAAAAUGAUACUUUUCCUCUCCAAUAUUUAGUGGUUGGAAAAAUUUCAUCCACAAAGUUUCAUUGCGAAUACAUUUAGUUCCUACAAAUUUAAUUUAUAAUCAAUAGUACAAGUGAUAGCAAAUCAACCAAUUUGGGUGGAAAAAAAAUUGACAAAUAGCUCGUUUAGUCCCUCAACUCUUUUUUUUUGUAAAUUAUCUUUUUUUUUCUUAAUAAAUAAAAAAUGAUAUUUUAUUUUAUCCUGUUUAAUGCUUCUAUUUUUUUUCCAACCCCAGAAGUACUUUUUGAUUUCACUUCCUUCAACCUUCAAACGCGACAAUGUUGAUUGAUGAGUAUGACCAAAAUUUCAACCUUUCUUUAAAAAAAGAAAAACUUCACUUUUCUUGGUGUUUUUUUAUUUUCUUUUGUACAUAAAUUCUUUGUUUUCCUUUUUACUUUCUUUUGGUGUUUUUGACACUUUCCUUUCUUCUUUUUCUCUAGUCCCUGAUUUUUGAAAUCUCUUAUCUUUUUGAAAUAAGUUGCAUUUGUUUGGAUAAAUUGGAACUCAUAUGUAUGCAUACUGAGUGUUAUGUAUUCCUUUGACAAAACAGCUAGACGUUGACAAUUGUGUAAAUUAAUAAAAUUUUGGCAAUGCAUAUGAAAAUGUGGCUUUACAAGAAUUGGAUUGGAGAUAUUCUCAAGUGUUUGAGAUGUUCAUUCUUGCAAAUGGCUAAAAUUCUCAAGUGUUUGGACUCAUUAUGCGUGACAUGACUGAUAAUGUUCUUUCUAAAUGUGGGAAUUGGAUUUGAGGAAUGUUAGGAAUAUUACUUGCUUGAAAUUGUCAAUUGCUGGCAGGGAGUUUAACCCUUUUUCAAGAGAAAACUCUGCCGAAAUUUUCUUAAAUUCUUAUUUAACAUGUGUGAGCAAGUUUCUAUCGUUUCUAAUAAAUACUUAUCUUGUUUGUGUAUAGGUACUAUGGCUCGCACAAGGAGGGCUCGUAUUCGUAAUCCUACACCAUCUUCAAGCGAGGAACGCACUCCCUCAUAUGAAGAGUCGCCUGAGGAAGAAUCUCCUUCGCCUGAGCCACCACCUCGGUCUCGCCGGAAGACCGCAUCCACUAGCCGCGACGAGCCGUUUCCAGAUUUUGACACCACUAGAUUCACGUCACUCGAGAAUCGACAGUGGUACGAAGCAGGCUUAGAUAAGGAAAUUAUCAUUGAAAAGCACCUGGCACCGGAGGUGGAUGCGCACUACCACGUCUCUACGGCAUUCAAGAGACUAGGAUGGGAGAACAUCCUUCAAUUGCCCAAGUACUACUACCCCAACCUGGUCCGGGAGUUCUAUGCCAAUGUGGAAAACAAACAGAGUCACAAUGGCAAUCUCAUCGUCUCCUGGGUUCGACGAAAGAGAGUGGCUCUUAAUCGAGAUACAGUGGCAAAAAUUGUCAAACUCAAAGAUGAAGGACUUGAUGUUAAACUGAUCAAGGAGUUCAAGGCACGCGACCCUUGGCAGGUGAGAGAAGCGGUAGCACGCCUAAAGGGUCAAUAUAGGGAGCGUGGAAGUUCGAAGAAACUCACUGUAUAUGCUGACUCCUUCGAGCAUAGGUACCACUUGAUCUUCUAUCUCUUCGCCUUCAAUGUGGUGCCCAAAAGGAGUGGAAAGCGAGAGCUCCGCAAUAGUGACCUCUACUUCUUGGAUAAGAUGAUGUAUAGUGUGGGUGAGCAGUUGACUGGUAUUCCUUUGCCCAGUAUCAUCAUCAGUUACACGCGGACCACAGCUCGCAUGAGGGCCGGCAAGACUUGCUUUGGAUUCUUUCAGCUGCUAUCCCUCAUUUUUUAGAAGCUCAAGGUUCCUCUUGGAACCGAGCGAGCCAUUAACACUAGGUCUGCCGACGAGGUCUGUGCCUCGAUACUCAAAUCCUUGAAUAUUUCUACAGAUUUUGGAGCUGCUCUGGUUCGAGAAACUAAAGAAGCUUCAACCUCAGCUCAGCCUCCACCUCACACUCAACAGGAACCAGUAGUUCAUGAGACGGAGGCACAACAAACUCUUCCUCCUCCCGUUCCAAGACCACCACCUCCACCGCGAUCCAAGUGGCAAGAGCUCCUCAAUGCCAUUUGCUGUAUGGAGACUUGAGUCGUUGAGCGCAUUGACCAGACCGAGCGGAUGAUGACGGAGUGACUCGACAGACAUGAUCGCCGUCUUCGUGCGAUUGAGGAUCAUUUCCAUAUCCGCCGGUCACCUACUCCGACGUCUCAGCAGGAGGAGGGGCAUAUUGGUACAUCACAGGGUCCUCAUGGAACUGAGGAGGUAGUAGACCCUCGUUCUGAGCAGCCAUGAAGAUUUUUAGCUAAUUACAUCUUUUGUUGCUUUAUUUUUCUUUUAUUGUGUUUAGUUUAAAUUUUGUAGUUUUCAUAUUGGAUUCUCUUGUGCUACUCAUGGUUUUUUGCACUCUUUUGUUUCAUUGUGGACAGAAUUUCGAUGAUCGUGAGGAUUAAUGGCUUCAAAUUGAAUCACCACUUAUUUUGAGGGAAGUUUCAUUUUUUAUUACCUUCUUCACAAUGAAGACAUUGUUAAAUUUAAGUGUGGGGGAGGGAUUACUUUAUUUUAUGGGGAUUGUGUCUUGAAAUGCAUGAUUUGAGUUGUCUAUAGCUUAAAAAUGUUGAAAUUUUAUUUGGAAAGGUUGUAUUGUGGUUAAUUUUCUGGAAAUUAAGGUUGUUGACAGGGAGUUUUGUCCAUUUUUAUGGAGAAACUCUGUCAAAAUUUUUUUAAAAAUAUUUUCCAAUAUUUCAAGUUAAUGGCCAAAAUGUUCAAUUUUAAGUGCCUAAUUCUUCCAUUGAAUAAAAUGUUAUAUGUAUUUUGGGAAAGUUUAGUCCUUAUUUGACUUGGAAUUAGUCAUUAUGCAAUUAGGAUUUUUAUAUUUUAGAAAGUAUAUUUGGUUAAAUAAGGAAAAUUAUGCUUAGAAUUUUGCACGUUCAAUGAUAUUUCUCAUUUUUACUUAAUUUUAUAAGUAAGUGAUUGACAUAGUCAAGACAAGGCCAGAUUCUUUCUUUAAUUAUGCUUAGAGGGAAAAGAGAAAAAAAAGAAAAAAAAAGAAAAGAACAUAUAUAUAUUGAUAUUAUUUUCUACUCCAAUGAUUCACAUACUGAGUAAUCGGGGGUUGGUAUUUACAAAUGUCGACAUUCGCAUAAAAAGGUAUUGGAAUUAAGAGUAUGUUUAGCAAUUUGAAUAAGUAAAAUGUUGAGUAAUCAGGAAUCUUCACCUAAGUAUCGAUUUUCGCGUAAAAGACAUUUCUACUAUUUAAGUAAAAUGAAGUAUGAAUAAAUCUCUCUUAGUUAUGAAAAUUUUGAUGGUUAUGGGAUGAGGAAGGCCAUAGAAUUGACUGUGAGAUUUACUUAUUUGUGAAAUUAGGAUAGAAUGAGAGAUUGAUUUGAAGUUGUUAAAAUUAAGGCAUAAUUAUCUUUCUUUAACUUGAUAUUACGAGUAUUUAGUGUAAUCUGAGAAAUAGCAUAAUGAUUGGUUUCUAGGUUUUUGAGGAAUUAAAUUUGACAAAAGUACGUAUAUUGUUUUAUCUAUUGAAUCAUUGAAGUAAGUUUUAUGCAAAUUACUUGAGGACAAGUAAUGAUUCAAGUGUGGGGGAAUUUGAUAAGUGAAUAUUUAACGUAUAUUUUGUACAAGUUUGGCAUGAACUUUUGGUAUGUUUUGAGAAGAUUAAAGCCAUAUUUGAACUCUUUUGGUGAUAAUUGCUUAAAUAUUGUUUAAGUGUUCAAAAUUUGAUAAAUGAGUGGAUUAAUGCAUUAAUUUUGUGAAAUUGUGCAGGAUAUUGAUGUAUGAAGUUCAUGCACGAGCUGAAAGAAGUGUAAGGAUUGUCCAGAGGAUAAAGUACACAAGAAAUUAGGAGCAAAAAUGAAGGACAAAGGAAAGAAGCGAAAAAAUGAAAAUUUAAUGGCACGGAUCCGAGCUCGGAUCCAUGAGAGCAAAGAAGGAUCCGAUCCCUCGUCUGUACUUCUGGAGGAGUGUAUCCAAGGUUAGACGAUCCGACCUCGGAUCCAUCAUGGGAAGUCCUCGGAUCCUAUAAAUCCGAGUUCGGAUCCAUUUUCACCCCUCGGAUCCGAGGCUCGGAUUUGUCUCUCUCUUCAGCAAGUGGCACAGUUAUUUUCCUUUACCUUUCUCACAACUUUUCCAGCUAUUUUGAGGGAUAGAAAUCGGUGGCACAUGCUUCUGCAACAAAAGAGAAGACCAAAUGAGUUAUAGACAAAAAGGAAAUAUCAUAUUUUUGACUUCCUGAGUGGAGGAAAUUAUGAAGUGCGAGGAGUAGACUUUCUACCACUUUUUAUGCAGAAACACAGGGAAGAAGCCAGAGACAUCUACGCAGCUAGUUUUCCUUCUUGUAACUAGUUUCUCUCUAACUAAGAGUUCUUGGAGGCAUUUUGGAGGUUACACUUGUAAUCAUCUUGUACAAGAACAUAGCAGAAUUUGAGGGCUUCACCAUCAAUCGGCUAAGCUUUCUUUUAUCUUUCUUGUACUUGUACUUCAUGAUGUUUUGCAUUAAUAAACUUAUGAGUUUGAUUGUUAAAGCAUUCAUGAGUAGCUAAACUCCUUAAUCUAGGGAGUGGAUGAAACUUAUGGCUAAAUAAUACUAAUUGAAUGUGAGUUACACUUGUUAUAUCCUGUAUUAACUAGUCUACUUGUGUAGCUGUGAUUACUUGUUAUUGAUUGAUCACCAAUAGCAUGUUUAUAGUUGUUAUUAUUCAAUGAGAAUUGGUAGUAACAAUGGAAACACAUGAGUAGAGCUUAAGUUGUAUGUUCAUGAAAAUAGAGAUAUACUUAAGUAGAUUUCUUAGCAUUUCAUGAAAGCAAACAGAGUAGUAGUAGUAUUUCACUAUGAAAAUAGGGAAAAACUGAACUACUCUAGGCCAUUUCAUCAUGAGAAUGAGACUUGGUAAAUUUGGAAAUGAAUCUCUGGUUAAACAAGAAUAAUAACAAGAGGUAAAUCCAUUUAUUUGUGUUAUUUAUGCCAUAAGUGGAAUUUACAUCCCUAGAUUCAAUCUCUAGUGAAAUUUCUUCAUUCGAAUUUAGUAUUUGUUAAACUAGAUUUGUAUAUCAAAUUUGUAGAUUAUAGCAAUAUACUUUCUCUGCUCAAAUUUAUUGUAAAUCUAAAUAAUAGAGAGAAAUAAGGGUCCAGUACUUGUUUAAAUUGCUCCUCGUGGGAUCGACCCGAUACAUACCCUACAUUACAGUUUCGGCCUGUAUACUUGCAGCUAACGGGUAUAAAAAUCGGAUUUAAACUUGCAUUGCUAAAAAAAAACCCGUCACGGGUGAUAAAUAUUCCAAUCAAUAGCACCUAAAUAUAUAGACCCUUUUUCAUUACCUGUUUCUUGUCCGUGUAACUCAGCGCAUUUCUGGACUUUUUCUUUCCAAAAUCAUCUCAGAACUUGCGAAUAUGCAGCUUGAAAGUUCAAAGUUAAUUCUACCUUCUAAGUGACUGCUUAAUCAUCUUAGUUUGAUAUUGCCGUGUUCUAUUUAAGCUAUUAAAUAUUGAAAAAGAAAGGAAGAUGUAACCCUUGAUUAAUUAUCCAAAAUUUUGAGUGAAACCAAUUUCAAUUCACUCAAUUCAAUUUAAAAUCCAGAUUUCAAACCCAUUAAUUACCCUAUUAAUUAUUGGAGUAAUUUAUAUUUUCAUUUACAUCAAAAUGAAUGAAUUAUUUGAAGUUAAAAUCAGGUUUAUGGUUCGACGACUAGGUUUGAUAACUGGGAGUAGAAAUGGUGUAAAAAGGGAUGGGAGGGUUAAAAGGAAUAUUUGAAGCUAAAAUCAUAAAUUAUCCUGCACAUUUAUAUGAUUUGUUCAUCUUGAACAGACAUUGUCUUGAAUACUUAGGAAAAUUUUCUUGUAAGACUAAAAGAACUAAUUUUGAAGAAUAUUCAUAUUAAGCACACUUGUAGAGAAUUAUCAUAUGUAUUAAUCUAUCAAUUAUAAUAUUUAUUAAACUUAAUUUAUACAAUCAGGAAAAAUAGUUUGAAAGGGAAAAUGAUACUUUUCCUCUCCAAUAUUUAGUGGUUGGAAAAAUUUCACCCACAAAGUUUCAUUGCGAAUACAUUUAGUUCCUACGAAUUUAAUUUAUAAACAAUAGUACAAGUGAUAGCAAAUCAACCAAUUUGGGUGGAAAAAAAUUGACAAAUAGCUCGUUUAGUCCCUCAACUCUUUUUUUUUUGUAAAUUAUCUUUUUUUCUUAAUAAAUAAAAAAUGAUAUUUUAUUUUAUCCUGUUUAAUGCUUCUAUUUUUUUUUUCCAAUCCCAGAAGUACUUUUUGAUUUCACUUCCUUCAACCUUCAAAUGCGACAAUGUUGAUGAGCAUGACCAAAAUUUCAACCUUUCUUUAAAAAAAGAAAAACUUCACUUUUCUUGUAGUUUUUUUAUUUUCUUUUGUACAUAAAUUCUUUGUUUUCCUUUUUACUUUCUUUUGCUAUUUUUGACACUUUCCUUUCUUCUUUUUGUCUAGUCCCUGAUUUUUUUUUUUCUAUUUAGUCCUUUUAUUUUUUCCCCUUAAAUACCAUUUGCCAUAAAACUUUUUCCAUCACCAGACUCGGUGGCUUAAAAGGGCAUGACAAACUGUUCAUAUUCUUUUUCAAAAAAAGGAAAUCUAUAAUUUUUUUUAUUUCUUUUUAUGUUAUUCCUUCAUUUUCUUUUUUGCAUUUUUAGUUUAAGAAUCUUAUUAAAUUAGAACUAUAGAUGCGUGUUAAAUAAUAUUUACUCAAAUUUCAAAAUUUUCAUUUGCACAUGUAGCAUGCAUUCCAAUCCCACUCGUAUUAAAAAAAAACUACUACACUGAAAAUCUAAACAUUAUUUCUUUUCUUUUUAUAUAAUUUUUUUCCUUUUCUUUUUCAAAAGAGGAAGAAGAGGCAGCACGAGUGAUAGAUGCGGAGUAGAUAAAGGAAGAGUCUGAAUUAUUGAAAAGGGAGAGAGAAGCUGCCAAGAUUACUUUACAGAUGAUGGACAUAGAUGAUUUUGUUCUCUCUCUAAUUUGAGAUUGAGCUUGAGGACAAUCUAAUGGCUACAUCUUAGUUGUUAGGUGAAUUUCCAAUUAUACCUCUUUUCAGUAUAUUGAAUAUAUUUCAAUGGUGUUAACAAACUCACAUAUUGAUAUUUUUGUUUUCGCAAUGGUUUUUAUUAUUUAUUAAUUUUUUUGGUGUGAGAUUUUGCAGCGCUUUGAAUUAAGGGUGCAAACGAAUCGAAUCGAGUCGAGUUUUGGUCUAAUCGAAUCGAGUCUCAACUUAGUUUUAUGAAACUUGAACUCGAGCUCGAGUUUGACGAGUUCAAAAUGUAAAGUUCGAGUUCGAACUCGACUAAAAUUCGAGUCAAGCUCAAACUUAAAAAAAUAAUUAUUUUAUUUUAAAAAAUGAAUAAAAUAAUAAUUUUUCAAAAUAAUAUAUAUAUAUAUAUAUAUAUAAUUGCGAGUUAACGGGUUGAAUAUCUUUGAGCUCGAGUUUGACUUGAUCAGUUCAAGCUCGAGUCAAGCUCGGAUUCGAGCUGCUCGCGAGCUGUUUGAUUCAUUUGCAGUCGUACUUCAAAUACUUCUUACAAGUGCUCCAAAGGUUUUUCAUUGCACAAUGAAACUAUGGUAAGAAGAAUUCAUCCAAUCUGUGGAGAUACGUUCUUUUAAUCAGACAAAAUUCAUCUUUCUAGAAUCCAAAAAUAAAAGAAGACAAAUGUGGUUCAUAUAUUGAUUAUAUCACAGGGUACAAAAAAAUUAAGAAAAGAGGUAGUGAUUUAUAAAUUGCAUUUUCCUGUAAGGUGGGAAAAUGCCAAUGUAUUAAUCUAUGUAGAACCAUUGUAGUAACAAAGGGGCCGAAAUAAUGCUGGAUUUUGGAGUAAUUCCAUAUGGAGAUCAAAGUGGAAAUGACCCAAUUAUUUAUGCUUCAACACAUUACUGUUGCACCCCGAAUCUCCUUUGGUUUCAAGAGUUACCCAUACUACGGGUAGUUGUUAUCCCACCAAAAUUGGGACUGAAGUUUUUUGAUGACAUCGUUUCCAACCUGGAAUGCUUUGGUAAGAACAUCAGGAGAAAUCGGAGGAUCUGAUCCGAAUACAGCAUUAGCAAUGGUGAUGACUCCUGGAUUCUGGCUGCCUAAACCAGCAAAAGCAACAGCAUUUGAAUGUCCUUGGUUGAAUUGGAAAUGAAUGAGGCCUUGGGGGAACACAAACACAUCUCCUGGAUUCAAAACCUUGGUGAAGAGCUUAUUCUUCAUGUUCAUGCCCGGAUUCGAAGUAACAAAACCAACAACUAGAGUACCCUCCAAAACAAAGAGGACCUCGGUAGCACGAGGGUGAAUGUGGGGAGGGUUCAAACCAUAAGGCGCAAAAUCGAUGCGUGCUAAGGAAACACCUAAAGUGUUGAGCCCUGGAAUUUGGUUGACAUUUACUGCUGUUACAUUGGACCCGAGUGGAUUUGCUGUGCUUCCAGGUUUGUUAAGCCCUGGAAAGAAGAAAUCUUCGGGUUUCACAAGCUUUGGAUCCUUGCAUAUCUUUCCAUUGACAAAUACUGCAUUAGCCAUGAUUCAACUUAGUUAGUUUGUCAAACAUAGUUAGAAUUCAAGUAUAAUAUACAAGAGUCAAGAAAUUUUUGAAGUAAUCUAGUUUACCUCCGGCAUUGGCAUCAGGAACUGCCACACAAAAAUCCUGCAGUGGACUUGGAUUAGAUGCAUGGACAACUGUAAAAACAAGUGCCAAGAUGGCUGCAGCAAUAUGGAUCCGAACUGCCAUGGUUAUCACAAAAGAGGUGACAGGUUGUCGAAGCCUGUGCAAUAAUAAAUACCUGCUCAAACUAAAAGUAAUUUCUGUAGAUAGUGGUGAGCAGGGUCGAAUCCACAGGGACUGGGAGUAAUUAUUUCUUUUCAAGUUCACAGUGACAAGGGGAGUGUUUUUAUGCAGAAGGUGACAGUGGCGGGUGGCUUCAGGCGCGCAAGUGAGGCGCGUGGCUGUGGUCAAGGGUGGAGCAAGGGCGAGCGGCUACGUGGGCAGUAGAGGCGGGCAUCGGCCGUGGCUGCUGGCGGCGGACGGGCUGGAGAAGAAAGGGAGAGCCCGCGCCAAGUGGUGGUGGAAGGCAGCGGCGGUCACGUGGGCAAGUGGGCGGCGUGCGUCGCGCUUGGGCGGCGGGACAGAGGCUACUGCCGCGCACCUGUGGGAUUGUGGCUGUGCGAGGAAGGAGCUGCGUGUGGAAGGAAGAUGGGCAGCGGCGGCGGCGAUGGAGCUUCAGCAGCGGCGGGCGGCGAGGUGCGAAGUGGAUGGCUGGCUGGUCCUUCGUGCGAGACGCAAGGUGGCGGCGUGAGUGAGGUGGGCUGCGAGCAAAAGGGAUUCGGACAACAGAGAGAGAGCAGGGGAGAAGGAAGAAAGAAAGAAGAAAGAAAGAAAUUUUUUUUUUUUUUUUUUUUUUGUAAAACUGAGCUACGGUGAAAAGGGAAGAAGAAAAAAAAAAUUUUUUUUUUUUUUUUUAAAUUGAGAAACCUAGCUACGGUUGAGAAAUUUUUCUCUCUUUUUUUUUUUUAAUCCUUACCUUUCCCGCGAACGUGACGCGGGCACGUCAUGAGGGCAAGAGAGCUCCCAGAAGUUUCUGAUCGUGAGCUUCCUGCAGGUCACCACGGGGGCGCGUCAUGACUGAAGGUCACCUACAAAUCAGUAAAAACGAAAAUUAACACCCAAAAUCAGUCAAAUUCAAGGAAGACAGAUUUAAACUAACAAAUAAAAUCAAACAAACAACUAAAAGAAAUUGGGUUGCCUCCCAAUGAGCGCCUUUCUUUAAUGUCUUUGGUUAGACAUUAUCAUGUUUUGUUCAUGGAGGAUAAAAUCGUGUGGCUCGUUUUAAUGUUUCAUCCUCUAUAUAGUCCUGAUAACCCUCGUAAAUAGAAUAAUUCUUGAGCAUACGAGCUACGGGCUUCCAUGGACUAGUGAAUGGCGCCAAACGAGUCGAUGAUAAUUUGCAUUCUCCAUUCACUUCUCCCUCAUUUGCAUUUGUUGGUACAAGAUAUCUUGCCAUCGCCACUCUUAAUUUAUUCCUGUCAUGAAAUUCAAAAUUAUCUGGUAUAAUAAAGUCAAUUUCAUUAACAGGAAUUGAAGAGUAAGAGUCAGGAGAAUAGUGAUAAAGGAGUGGAGGAGAUGUCACCGCAUUUGGAGAUUGUUCACUGGAUUCAUUCACUUGAAUGAGUUGAUCCUGGAGUCUCAUUUUUUGCACUUCAACUUCCUUUUCAACUGCAUCUUUAAAUCCGUUUCCUUGAAACUCUUGCAAUUCCAUGUCAUUUGGCCGGAUAAUUGCACUCUCAUCUCCUUCAAGAUUGAUAUUGGUUUGUGAGGGCAAUUCUUCAAGGUGAGAAGCUAAUCGCUCUAUCCUGGAUGUCAAUUGACGCAUUUGAUCUGCCAGGUCGCGAAGGCUCGCUUGUGUCUUCUGAUGAAAUCGAUUUAGGCUCGCUUGUGUCUCCUGAUGAAAUCGAUUUGUAUUAGCAAUUAGUAAUCCCAUCAUUUCUUCAAGAGACAAACCUGACACGGAGGAUGAUUGCUGAGACUCUUGCUGUUGAAAAUCCAUUGGCCCGGUCGCAUAAUCAAAAUUGGAUUUAUCCCACCAUCCUUGAUCAUACCCGUUUGAAUAAGGGUCAUACCACGUUUGAAAUCGAGAUGGAAAAUCUCCAAAAGUAUCAAUUGGAGCGCUUAAAUUAUCUUGAAAUGCGGGGCAUGUGUCAGUUGAAUAACCUGAAUCAAAAUAAGUUCCACAAUUUGCAAUAGCCCAUUGAUCAUUAGAAAAACAUGAGUCUCAUAACUCCAUUCAAGAACAAAGUCCAGUCUAUCAUCAAAAUAUGGAAUGUUAGCAGCCAUAAAAAAAUAAAAAAAAUAAGAGAAAAAUAAAUUAAAAAAAAAUGAAAACAAGAUAAACUCAAAAAGAAACAAAUUAAUCUGACACCAGUCCCCGGCAACGGCGCCAAAUAUUGACAGGUUGUCGAAGCCUGUGCAAUAAUAAAUACCUGCUCAAACUAAAAGUAAUUUCUGUAGAUAGUGGUGAGUAUGGUCGAAUCCACAGGGACUGGGAGUAAUUAUUUCUUUUCAAGUUCACAGUGACAAGGGGAGUGUUUUUAUGCAGAAGGUGACAAUCAAAGAAAUUCAACUAAAAUAUAAAAAGCUACUAAAAAUUAAAUAACAAAUUACUAAAAUCAAAUAAGUGAUAAUUAAGGAUCUAGCCAAGGAAUGACUUCAGCAAUAGUUCACCUAAUUGAUCAUCGAUAAGCAAAGGCAAUUCCAAUUAUUUAUCAAUAAAUAGGUUAUAACUACCAAACAAACGAUGGCAGUCAACCCCUCCUUACUGUGUCGGUGAUCAAGGUACGCCCGUUAAUCACUGCUCUAAUUGAAAAACAAUCCUAGGUACGCCCGUAAAAUUUAAUUCCCCAAUUGCCUUACGUAUUAGAGGAGCCCUAUUCUAACCAAAUAACACACUAUCAGGGUUAUUUUAGAUUAACCCGCGUAUUCCCUUGACACAAAUCUAAUCAUGCCAUUUGUCACUAUUUUAGAGCAAUUAAACAAUUACGGAUUUAAUGUCCUAAUUGACAAUAGAUUACCCAAUCAACUAAUUAUCUGGAUCCAAGACAAUCAAUUAAUUAAAUAACCAUAAGCACUGUAACCAGGGAAUAUGCGAAUACCAAUAAAUAAAAGUAAAAGAUAAAAUUAAAUCGAUCUCACAAUUUUAGGCGAUCCAAAACGUCCAUUGUCCCUUGACUAGAGCGAGAAAAUUAGUUCAUACUUGGUGUGAAAAAUCCAUGCAAAAUUGGAACAACAGCUGCGGCCAUUGUUCUUGCUCGCGCGAAUUCAACUCAGCCAAAGGGAUAAGGAAAAACGAGAGACUAAGAAAAGUGAUUCAAUCUCUCAAUUGCCGUUGACAUGUCAAGGGAAAAACUACUAUAAAGCUAAGAAGAAAAGUCAACAAAAGCCACAUUGGCUCCUGACAUCCGUAAGAAGAAAACCAAAAGAAGUAAGGAAGGACUACAAAAGAAAAAUCAAAAGCAAGCCUAAGCUACAGCCGACCUCUCCUCUGCACACUUUUUCUAAUUCCUAUCUACUGUCUACUCUAAUGCUUGCGGCGGCUCCCUCCUCUGGAGAGGAAGAAGUGACACCCCGACUUCAGCCCUUUGUUCCUUUUUUUAAUGCUUUUGUCUUCGGCAAUUACUAAAAUGGGCACAAGUUUGCCUUUGGCAACAAUGCCCCCGGGAUAAGCUCUGUGCCUUAGACUCCUUUUGUGUCAAAUUGGCACUUGUUAUCAUAUUUUCGUUCUACUCCCUGAAAUAUAUGCCAAAUACUAAAAAUGAGUAGAAUCUAUCAAUUAAUUCACAUCGAGUCAGGUAAUAGGGAAAAUUAAUAAUAAAAUAAAUGAUAAAAUUACACCCUAUCAAGAGGGAUCAAACUAUGUGAACUAAUUAGAAGGAUGGUAACUUGUUUCUUCUCUGGUGGUGGAAGGACAUGUGGGAAAGAUGCCUAUUUAUAGCCACUUUUGGUACGUUGAACUGGUCAUUAUAUUUUCUUAUCUUAAAGAUUAAAAAAUGCCACAUUGUCUAUGUGUACUAUUUUUGCACAAUUCAACCGACGAAAGAUUCUGCAACCACUACUUUCGACUUUGUCAUUUUCAGUAAGACUGAUUAAUAGCGUGUAAAUGGACCUUUUCAUUUCCUGUUUCUUGUCUGUGUACGUAACUUAGAAAGUGGAUGGACUUUUUCUUUCUUUUUAUGUUUUCAAAAUCUACUCUAGACUUGCGUAAAUGCAGAUUGGCAAGUUCUAACUUCUAGUGCUGGUUUUUAAAUCACCUUGGUUUAUUAUUUCCAUAUUUUAUUUAAGCUAUUAAAUGUUGAAGAAAAUAUAGAUGUAACCCUUGAUUAACUUUCCAAAAUUUUGGAUGAAACUUAAUUUUCUUUUACUCGUUCGAUUCAAUACCAGAUUUUACUCCCGUCCUUGUAUAUUUACCCAAUCAAAGUUCACAGCAGUAAUAGCUUUCAUUACUUCUUUUUUUCCUCCAAACAUAAAAAAGAAGAAAUUGAAAUAAAAAAUGAUAAAUACCAUUAAAGAUUUGGUUUAAAACCUAUAACGACAUUUGUAGUAAAAAAAGAUUUGGCAUUUUUUGUUUCUUAUUUAUUUGUUUUAUUUUUUCCUUCCAUCUUUUUUUGUUAUUUAUUUAUUUAUUUUUUAUUUCCCUUUCAUCUUUUUUGUAUUUAGACAAAAUUAAGAUUUUGUAGGUCAAAGCAUAAAUUUUCAAAAUCAUCUCUUCUCUUCCCAAAAGAGAGAGAGAGAAGGAAAAAAGAAAAAAAGAAAAAAGUUGUGAAAGGGUAAAUUUAUUAAUUUAUUAGUUUGACUUUGACAUUUUAUUAUUGACCGUUAAAUUUAAUUGAAAAAACUAAUGGUGUCACUUUAACCCAAACUAUGUUUAAACAAUAGGGAAGUUAUAUAACAAGGCACCAAACCAUAGGGGGUAAUAAGUAAUUUACCCUUGAUAUUUUCGUUUACAUCACAGAAAGCAAUAAUUAAAGUUAAAUUUAAAAUUAUCUUGCUCAUUCGUGUGAUUUAUUCAUCUUGAAUAGGAAAAUUUGGAAAGUUUUCUAAUGAAUAUUCUUUAACCACCCUUGUAAGGAAUUAUCAAAUGUAUCAAUCGAUCAAUUCUACUAUUUACUAACCUUAGUUACUUCAUGUAAUCAGAGAAAUAGUCUAAAUGAAAGGGAAAAUGAAAGUUAUUGCAGUCAAUGUCUAGGGUUUGGACAAUUUUCAAUUCAUUGAAAACAUAUUUAGUACAGUGAAUUUACAAUUAGUUUUCAAACCUAAUUUUUAGGGGUUGGGCAUUUAGUCCUAUAAUUUUAAUUUACAAUCAAUUUAGUACGAUUGGCAGCAAAUCAACUAGGGAUGGCAACGGGAGCGAGCACCCGUGGGGGGUCAUUGGGGCGGGGAUUGGAGCGGGGCCUAGGGGAAUUUUUCCCUCCCGUUUAGAAACGGGGCGGGGGGCGGGGGUAUACUCCCCUGUCCCACCCCCGCCCCGCCACCCGUAUGAAUAUAUAUAUAUAUAUAUAUAUAUAAUGAUAUUAUCAAUUAUACUACUAAUUAUACAUGUCUAUUAAUAAAAAUUAUUAAUUAUUUAUACUAAAUUUAUUAAUACAUUUAUGUUAAAUUCCUAACUACACUUAAUACAAUAACACUUUUUUCUAAAAAAAAACACAAUAAUAAUUUAGUGAUUGUAUUUGUAUCAAAAGUGAAAACUUGAUUAUUUUAGUUAUAUUUGUUUUAUCAUAUUAGAUUGUAUUCAAAUAACCUUUGUUUAAUUAUUUUUAUGAGUUUCAAUUGUGAAGUUACAAUGAAUAAUAACUUGGUGAUGUAUUGAUAUUUUAGUACUUGAUUAUUUGCUUAAAUUUAAUUAUAAUAACAUUAUAUAAUAAUUUUUUUUAACCCCGCGGGGGAAGUGAGGCGGGGCGGGGGAAGCCGGAGGCGGGGGAUGGGAGGGGCGGGGGCGGGGGGAAUUAAAAUGCAACGGGGCGGGGGUUGGGGGAGGUGUCCCCCGCCCCAUUGCCACCCCUAAAAUCAACCAAUUUGAACGGAAAAAAUUUUUUUUGCAAAUAGAUUAUUUAGUCCUUGAAAUUUUUAUGAAAAUUAUCUUUUAUCCAUGAUCUUUCACUUUAUCCCAUCUAGUCCUUUUAUUGUUCUUUCUUCUAACACCGAAAGUAGUUCUUGUUUCACUUUCUUCUACCAUCAAAAUGGCCGGUUUUAAAAAGUUGACCAAAUUUUUAACUUUCUCUAAUAAAAUCUUUACUUUCUUCUCAUUUGUUUUAUUAUCUUUCGCACACAAUUUCUUCCUUGUCAUCUUCACUUUCUUGGACUACUUCUGCCAUUUUCUUUUUGAUGUAGUCUCUUCUUUUUCUCUACUCCCUGUUUUCGUUUAUUUAAUCCUUUUACCUUUUUAUUAACACCAAAACUUCCAUCACCAAAACAAACUUUUUCCAUCACCAAACUUAGUGGCUUUAAAGCGCACGACAAAAGUUUCAACAAUUCUUUUUGAGAAAAAAAAAUGUUUUUUCUUUUUUGUUGUUUCCUUUUAUUUUUAUAUAAUUUUUCAUUUUCUUUCUUAUUUUCUCCAACUAUUUUCACCAUUUUCUCUUGUAUUAAUCUUUCCUACAUUUCUUGGUGUAGAAAUUGUAUUACACUAACAAGUGUAGAUGCAUGCCAAAUAAUAUUCAGAGAUUCACAUUUUAAAUUGUUCAUUUGCAUGUGCUGUGCAUCCCAAUCCACUCACGUACUACACCGAUAAUAUGGAGGAGGCAACGUAAGUGAAAGAUACUGGGCAGAUAAAGGAAGAGGCUGAAUAUUAAGAAGGGAGAGGAGACAGAGUGGGAAGUGUUGAUGGUGCGCAAAGUACAAAUUCAUUGACUUGCUUUGUCCGUACCACGGAAAGUGCCAAUGUAGUAUUCUUCUUAGAUUGAUGUAGUAGUACAAAAGGGUCCAAAUACUACUAGUAUUUAAUCUAUAGUUUAAAGUACAUCAGUGAGGAGGUCAAGGUCUGAAGGACCCAAUUAUUUAUGCUUUAACACAUUACUAUUAAUUGCACCCUGAAGCUCCUUUAAUUUCAAGAGAUACCCAUAUUAUUUAAGGGUAGUUGUUAUCCCACCAAAAUUGUGACUGUAGUUUUUUGAUGACAUCGUUUCCAACCUGGAAUGCUUUGGUAAGAACAUCAGGAGAAAUGGGAGGAUCUGAUCCGAAUACAGCAUUAGCAAUGGUGAUGACUCCUGGAUUCUGGCUGCCUAGACCAGCAAAAGCAACAGCGUCGGUCUCUCCUUGGUUGAAUUGGAAAUGAAUGAGGCCUUGAGGGAACACAAACACGUCUCCUGGAUUCAAAACCUUGGUGAAGAGCUUAUUCUUCAUGUUCAUGCCCGGAUUCGAAGUAACGAAACCAACAACAAGAGUGCCCUCCAAAACAAAGAGGACCUCGGUAGCACGAGGGUGAAUGUGGGGAGGGUUCAAACCAUAAGGCGCAAAGUCGAGGCGUGCUAAGGAAACACCUAAAGUGUUGAGCCCUGGAAUUUGGUUCACAUUUACUUGUGUUACAUUGGACCCGAGUGGCUUUGCUGUGCUUCCUGGCUUGUUUAGCCCUUGAAAGAAGAAAUCUUCGGGUUCCACAAGCUUUGGAUCCUUGCAUAUCUUUCCAUUGACAAAUACUGCAUUAACCAAGAUCAUGAAACAUCAGUUAAAGUAUAACAUGCAACAUUAUAGUACUAUCAAACAAGACAGUCAUGAAAUUUUCCAAAACAAGAUCAGAAAGUUUACCACCGCCAGCAUUGGCAUCAGGAACUGCGACGCAGAAAUCCUGCAAUGGACUUGGAUCAGAUGCAUGGACAAUUGUAAAAACAAGUGCCAAGAUGGCUGCAGCUAUGUGGAAGCGAAAAGCCAUGCUUAUCAGAGACGAAGUAUCAAACUAUAUGAGCUAGUUAGAAAGAUGAAAAGUUGUUUCUUCUCAGAUUGUGGAUGAAUAUGUGGUAAAGAUUCCUAUUUAUAGCUAUCUUUGGUUGAACCAGUCAUUAUGUUUUCUUAUCUCAACGAUUAGAAAAAUGCCACAUUGUCUUCCUAAUCUAUUUUUGUACAACUCAACCAACGAAUGAUUCUGCAACAACUACCUGUGACUUCUCAUUUUCUUUCCUCUUGCAAGUAUAGAAAGACUGAUUCGGUCAUUUAGGACAUUCCAACGAAGUGGUAUACUGAUACAAGGUGUUGACGGACCAAGUAACCGGUAAGACCUUUUCUUGAAGAGAUGGCCUUUGAUAUUUCUUGCUUCCAGAUGUUUACUUUCUUACCUCAGUAAAACGAUGCAUUAGUUGCAACUAAUCAGUUUGAAAUUCGCAGGCUCAAUCCAACUUUACAAAGUAGCAUCUGGGAUUAGCACGAAAGAAUCAAAUAUAUGGUAAUCGUCUGGGAGUAGAGGACCUAAUUACUUCGGAUAAUUAUACAAAGAUAGCUCAGAACUUGAAUUUCAAACUUCUUUGGCAAAACCUAUGAUAUGUAAUUAUAUUUGCAUAUUUUAGCUAGCUGGAAUACCAAGCAUUCAUUUCCUAUUUCCUGUCUGUGCAAAUAAUUCCUGUUUGCGGGUGAUAAAUAUUCCAAUCAAUAGCACCUAAAUAUAUAGACCUCUUUUCAUUGCCUGUUUCUUGUCCGUGUAACUCAGCGCAUUUCUGGACUUUUUCUUUCCAAAAUCAUCUCAGAACUUGCGAAUAGGCAGCUUGAAAGUUCAAAGUUAAUUCUACCUUCUAAGUGACAGCUUGAUCAUCUUAGUUUGAUAUUGCCGUGUUCUAUUUAAGCUAUUAAAUAUUGAAAAAGAAAGGAAGAUGUAACCCUUGAUUAAUUAUCCAAAAUUUUGGAUGAAACCAAUUUCAAUUCACUCAAUUCAAUUUAAAAUCCAGAUUUCAAACCCAUUAAUUACCCUAUUAAUUAUUGGAGUAAUUUAUAUUUUCAUUUACAUCAAAAUGAAUGAAUUAUUUGAGGUUAAAAUCAGGUUUAUGGUUCGACAAGUAGGUUUGAUAACUGGGAGUAGAAAUGGUGUAAAAAGGGGUGGGAGGGUUAAAAAGAAUAUUUGAAGCUAAAAUCAUAAAUUAUCCUGCUCAUUUAUAUGAUUUGUUCAUCUUGAACAGACAUUAUCUUGAAUACUUAGGAAAAUUUUCUUGUAAAACUAAAAGAACUAAUUUUAAAGAAUAUUCAUAUUAAGCACACUUGUAGAGAAUUAUCAUAUGUAUUAAUCUAUCAAUUAUAAUAUUUAUUAAACUUAAUUUAUACGAUCUGGAAAAAUAGUUUGAAAGGGAAAAUGAUACUUUUCCUCUCCAAUAUUUAGUGGUUGGAAAAAUUUCAUCCACAAAGUUUCAUUGCGAAUACAUUUAGUUCCUACAAAUUUAAUUUAUAAUCAAUAGUACAAGUGAUAGCAAAUCAACCAAUUUGGGUGGAAAAAAAAUUGACAAAUAGCUCGUUUAGUCCCUCAACUCUUUUUUUUUGUAAAUUAUCUUUUUUUUUCUUAAUAAAUAAAAAAUGAUAUUUUAUUUUAUCCUGUUUAAUGCUUCUAUUUUUUUUCCAACCCCAGAAGUACUUUUUGAUUUCACUUCCUUCAACCUUCAAACGCGACAAUGUUGAUUGAUGAGUAUGACCAAAAUUUCAACCUUUCUUUAAAAAAAGAAAAACUUCACUUUUCUUGGUGUUUUUUUAUUUUCUUUUGUACAUAAAUUCUUUGUUUUCCUUUUUACUUUCUUUUGGUGUUUUUGACACUUUCCUUUCUUCUUUUUCUCUAGUCCCUGAUUUUUGAAAUCUCUUAUCUUUUUGAAAUAAGUUGCAUUUGUUUGGAUAAAUUGGAACUCAUAUGUAUGCAUACUGAGUGUUAUGUAUUCCUUUGACAAAACAGCUAGACGUUGACAAUUGUGUAAAUUAAUAAAAUUUUGGCAAUGCAUAUGAAAAUGUGGCUUUACAAGAAUUGGAUUGGAGAUAUUCUCAAGUGUUUGAGAUGUUCAUUCUUGCAAAUGGCUAAAAUUCUCAAGUGUUUGGACUCAUUAUGCGUGACAUGACUGAUAAUGUUCUUUCUAAAUGUGGGAAUUGGAUUUGAGGAAUGUUAGGAAUAUUACUUGCUUGAAAUUGUCAAUUGCUGGCAGGGAGUUUAACCCUUUUUCAAGAGAAAACUCUGCCGAAAUUUUCUUAAAUUCUUAUUUAACAUGUGUGAGCAAGUUUCUAUCGUUUCUAAUAAAUACUUAUCUUGUUUGUGUAUAGGUACUAUGGCUCGCACAAGGAGGGCUCGUAUUCGUAAUCCUACACCAUCUUCAAGCGAGGAACGCACUCCCUCAUAUGAAGAGUCGCCUGAGGAAGAAUCUCCUUCGCCUGAGCCACCACCUCGGUCUCGCCGGAAGACCGCAUCCACUAGCCGCGACGAGCCGUUUCCAGAUUUUGACACCACUAGAUUCACGUCACUCGAGAAUCGACAGUGGUACGAAGCAGGCUUAGAUAAGGAAAUUAUCAUUGAAAAGCACCUGGCACCGGAGGUGGAUGCGCACUACCACGUCUCUACGGCAUUCAAGAGACUAGGAUGGGAGAACAUCCUUCAAUUGCCCAAGUACUACUACCCCAACCUGGUCCGGGAGUUCUAUGCCAAUUGGAGGAUCUGAUCCGAAUACAGCAUUAGCAAUGGUGAUGACUCCUGGAUUCUGGCUGCCUAAACCAGCAAAAGCAACAGCAUUUGAAUGUCCUUGGUUGAAUUGGAAAUGAAUGAGGCCUUGGGGGAACACAAACACAUCUCCUGGAUUCAAAACCUUGGUGAAGAGCUUAUUCUUCAUGUUCAUGCCCGGAUUCGAAGUAACGAAACCAACAACAAGAGUGCCCUCCAAAACAAAGAGGACCUCGGUAGCACGAGGGUGAAUGUGGGGAGGGUUCAAACCAUAAGGCGCAAAGUCGAGGCGUGCUAAGGAAACACCUAAAGUGUUGAGCCCUGGAAUUUGGUUCACAUUUACUUGUGUUACAUUGGACCCGAGUGGCUUUGCUGUGCUUCCUGGCUUGUUUAGCCCUUGAAAGAAGAAAUCUUCGGGUUCCACAAGCUUUGGAUCCUUGCAUAUCUUUCCAUUGACAAAUACUGCAUUAACCAAGAUCAUGAAACAUCAGUUAAAGUAUAACAUGCAACAUUAUAGUACUAUCAAACAAGACAGUCAUGAAAUUUUCCAAAACAAGAUCAGAAAGUUUACCACCGCCAGCAUUGGCAUCAGGAACUGCGACGCAGAAAUCCUGCAAUGGACUUGGAUCAGAUGCAUGGACAAUUGUGAAAGCAAGUGCCAAGAUGGCUGCAGCUAUGUGGAAGCGAAAAGCCAUGGUCAUCAGAAAGGAAGUAUCAAACUAUAUGAGCUAGUUAGAAAGAUGAAAAGUUGUUUCUUCUCAGAUUGUGGAUGAAUAUGUGGUAAAGAUUCCUAUUUAUAGCUAUCUUUGGUUGAACUAGUAAAUGCACAGUGAAAUCUCUGUAAACUAUUUCUUCACAAUUCAAUCAAUGAAUGAUUCUACAACAACUACUUGCGACUUCUCAAUUUUCUUUUCCUCGCGCAAGUACAGAAAGACAAAUGUGGUCGUUUGUGAAACCAAGGCCACAAGAUCAUGUAAAUAUUUCCAGCUUUACCAUAUGCAUUUUCCACAUAGAUGUGGAGUUCUGGUAAGACCUUUUCUCGAGAUAAGAUCGUAUUUAAUGCUUUUCUUCCUUCCAGAGUAUGAUUUUACAACUAACUUUUUCUUUUUUUUUUUUUUAACAUUUUGAUCGAAGGCUGGAUUAGAUGAAGAGGGAGGGACGAAGGGAGGAAGGGAGAGAGAGCGAUUGCCCGGAAUCAAACUUCGAAUCUUUAGUACCUUAAGCAGUUAGGGGUUCAUCAAAAUCAUAGAAAAUCAUUCUAUCUGAGCAAUGUUAACAAUUUUUGGAACAGCACAAAAAAGAAAAAUAAAUGUACUAGGGACACAAAAGAAGAACUAAAAGUUCAGCUUAUACAUCUUUUGUUGGUGACUGGAAAAGAAAAUCAUUAAUGAACCCGUUUAACAUUCAAACCUUAAUAAAGUGAUGCAUAAGUUUCAACUAAUCCUUUGAAAACUAAAGGACUUGAUCCAUCUGUGAAGUAAAUGGUCUAAUUACUUCCUUUUAUUGUACUAAAUAGGCUUUAGAACUUGAAUUUCAAACCUUCUCCGGAUGAUAAUUGAACAUCUUGCUACAGGAUGAUAAAUGUUCAAUUAGCAAGUACCUUUGAAUAACUUUGCACGAGGAUGGACUUUUGGUUUCUUGUUUGUAUUUUUCAAAACAAUCGAGAACUUGCAAAGGUAUGAUGUCACAAAUUUUUCUACCGCAUCCACUAGCCGCGACGAGCCGUUUCCAGAUUUUGACACCACUAGAUUCACGUCACUCGAGAAUCGACAGUGGUACGAAGCAGGCUUAGAUAAGGAAAUUAUCAUUGAAAAGCACCUGGCACCGGAGGUGGAUGCGCACUACCACGUCUCUACGGCAUUCAAGAGACUAGGAUGGGAGAACAUCCUUCAAUUGCCCAAGUACUACUACCCCAACCUGGUCCGGGAGUUCUAUGCCAAUUGGAGGAUCUGAUCCGAAUACAGCAUUAGCAAUGGUGAUGACUCCUGGAUUCUGGCUGCCUAAACCAGCAAAAAGCAAAUUUGAAUGUCCUUGGUUGAAUUGGAAAUGAAUGAGGCCUUGGGGAACACAAACACAUCUCGGAUUCAAAACCUUGGUGAAGAGCUUAUUCUUCAUGUUCAUGCCCGGAUUCGAAGUAACGAAACCAACAACAAGAGUGCCCUCCAAAACAAAGAGGACCUCGGUAGCACGAGGGUGAAUGUGGGGAGGGUUCAAAGCAUAAGGCGCAAAGUCGAGGCGUGCUAAGGAAACACCUAAAGUGUUGAGCCCUGGAAUUUGGUUCACAUUUACUUGUGUUACAUUGGACCCGAGUGGCUUUGCUGUGCUUCCUGGCUUGUUUAGCCCUUGAAAGAAGAAAUCUUCGGGUUCCACAAGCUUUGGAUCCUUGCAUAUCUUUCCAUUGACAAAUACUGCAUUAACCAAGAUCAUGAAACAUCAGUUAAAGUAUAACAUGCAACAUUAUAGUACUAUCAAACAAGACAGUCAUGAAAUUUUCCAAAACAAGAUCAGAAAGUUUACCACCGCGCAGCAUUGGCAUCAGGAACUGCGACGCAGAAAUCCUGCAAUGGACUUGGAUCAGAUGCAUGGACAAUUGUGAAAGCAAGUGCCAAGAUGGCUGCAGCUAUGUGGAAGCGAAAAGCCAUGGUCAUCAGAAAGGAAGUAUCAAACUAUAUGAGCUAGUUAGAAAGAUGAAAAGUUGUUUCUUCUCAGAUUGUGGAUGAAUAUGUGGUAAAGAUUCCUAUUUAUAGCUAUCUUUGGUUGAACUAGUAAAUGCACAGUGAAAUCUCUGUAAACUAUUUCUUCACAAUUCAAUCAAUGAAUGAUUCUACAACAACUACUUGCGACUUCUCAAUUUUCUUUUCCUCGCGCAAGUACAGAAAGACAAAUGUGGUCGUUUGUGAAACCAAGGCCACAAGAUCAUGUAAAUAUUUCAGCUUUACCAUAUGCAUUUUCCACAUAGAUGUGGAGUUCUGGUAAGACUUUUCUCGAGAUAAGAUCGUAUUUAAUGCUUUCUUCCUUCCAGAGUAUGAUUUUACAACUAACUUUCUUUUUUUUUUUUUUAACAUUUUGAUCGAAGGCUGGAUUAGAUGAAGAGGGAGGGAGGAAGGGAGGAAGGGAGAAAGAGAGCGAUUGCCCGGAAUCAAACUUCGAAUCUUUAGUACCUUAAGCAGUUAGGGGUUCAUCAAAAUCAUUCUAUCUGAGCAAUGUCAACAAUUUUUGGAACAGCACAAAAAAGAAAAAUAAAUGUACUAGGGACACAAAAGAAGAACUAAAAGUUCAGCUUAAACAACUUUUGUUGGUAACUGGAAAAGAAAAUCAUUAAUGAACCCGUUUAACAUUCAAACCUUAAUAAAGUGAUGCAUAAGUUUCAACUAAUCCUUUGAAAACUAAAGGACUUGAUCCAUCUGUGAAGUAAAUGGUCUAAUUACUUCCUUUUAUUGUACUAAAUAGGCUUUAGAACUUGAAUUUCAACCUUCUUCGGAUGAUAAUUGAACAUCUUGCUACAGGAUGAUAAAUGUUCAAUUAGCAAGUACCUUUGAAUAACUUUGCACGAGGAUGGACUUUUGGUUUCUUGUUUGUGUUUUUCAAAACUAUCGAGAACUUGCAAAGGUAUGAUGUCACAAAUUUUUCUCAAACUUGAUCUAGGUAUGAUGUCACAAAUUUUUCUUGUUUGUGUUUGAAUUUGCUAAGUCUUAUAUAAGCUACAUAAUUAAUGUUGGAAGAAGCAAUUGACCAAUUACUCCUUCAUUUAAUUUGGACCAAAACUAAUUUUUAUUUACUAAUUUUCUUUAUUUUGUGUGAAAACAAUUUUUAUUUUACUUAUUCAAGUUCAAAGAAAAGACUCUCCUACUUGCAAUUGGUGAACCCAUCUAAAGCAUCCUCACAAGCAAUAUAUUGGCCUGUGGUAGAUACAAGUUCAGAUACUGUAGACCGGAGAAAGGAAGAUGCUUCACAAACCAAGUUGUUUAUCUAAAGUUUUGUUAAGACAAUUUUGCAUGGCUUUGAAACUAAAUUUUGUGAAGGCUUUUAAUUUUUCAAUAUGUAGGCAAUGAAUAUAAUUCAAACUUUUUAUUAAAUAUUCGCUUUCGACAAAGAACACAAAUUAAUAACACUAGUGAUUAAGGCACGUACGCUGUGUGUAUCUGCAAACAAAUAUAUAAAAAUUGUAUUCAUUUGUGAAAAGGUUUUUUCAAUUUUAGUAUUCUGAAAACUAAUUUGUUAGAGAUUUUCAAGAAACAAUUAAUGAAAUUGAAUUAUUUACUUCUUCAUCUAGCAACUAAAUCACGUGGAAAAAAUCCAAUCUGGAUCCUCGAUCCCCUCUCAGAAAUCAUCCACAUCCCUUUAUCAGUCCAAAACUUCAUCUUUACUCAUUUCUACCUCUAACAACCUUUCCCUUCAACAAGUACCUCAAAUCACAAUUAACAACUUUUGAGUUAGAUCAAGAGAAAUUCCUAAAUCAGAAUAUAUGUAUAUAGGAGUUUAGAUUGAUAGAUUUGAUUACAGCUUUGAAACCUUUUCAUAUCCCUCUAAAUUUUGCGUAGAUGACUUGGGAGAUAUUUAGAUUUGUAAUCAACACAUAAAUUAUUGUCGUGCAUAAAUAGUCAAUGAAUACAAAUUUAAAUAUUUCUCAUUAACACAGUUCUCAUAUUUAUAGUCAAUGAGAUUCAAACGCACAACCUUUUGUAAAUGAGUAAUCUGUCCUUAUUAAAUAAAUCAACUUGUAUUAUAUUAGUGAACCAACUAAUCAUGGUUUGCUAAAUUAUAUUAAUGAUUGGGCAUCGCACGCGGUUAGGUCCAAAUUAUGUUCCAAUUUUCUUUUUUUUUCCCUUAUAAUUAUUGGAUUUAUUGCAUUUUUAGUUUUUUUUUUUUUUUAAAAAGGCCAUAAUGAGUAGUUGCUUUACUACGAAGGACACUCACAAAAACAUAGAGUUAUCUUACAUUCUCUCAAUAUAUUAUAAGGAUUAUAUUGAGAAAAAGAAAAGAGAACAAACUACAUUCAAGAAGGAAAUAGAAUCAAAUAUUAGUUUUGGUAAGUGGAAAUAUGUAAAAAGAAUUUAUUAUUCUAUAAAUAAUUAAACCAAUAUCAAUUUGGUCGUGCUUAAUUGGUGUACCAUAAAGAGUAGGGAUUAUAGGCAUGAAAUAAUUUAUCUAAGGAAUGGAUUUUUGUAGAUCAAUGAUUUUGAAAAUAUCACGUCUGCAAAUAAAACUAGGACGCUAUUCUCUCAUAGUAUACUUGGCUAGCUAUUUAUAAAAGCUAUUGAUAUCCAUACAACACUUUUAAUCAAUAAAAUUUUCUUUUAAUUGAUCUCAAGAAUGAUACCACAAAACUAAUACUUGCGCUGUGCAAUGCACAUACGCUCACACUAGUUCUAAUAAAAACUCCAAUGACUACAAAACUAAUCCAGCUUGGACCUCUUGAACCUUCAUCUGCUAUACUUGGUAAGAUUUUGGCUUGAGAAGGAUGCAAUUGUGGUAACGUUACUCUUCCAUUCGAUUUUCUUCUGAUUGCUGUUGGGAAACCUUGACCUUGAUCUUUGGCAAUGUGAGAGAUGGCUCCUGUUGGAGUAGAGCUGGAGCUUUGACCAUGUGGAUGCUCUGUUCCAGUUCCUUUGCUGCCUCUCUCUGCUCCAUGGUUUUCUUUCCCCUCAUCCUGCCAGUGUGUAAACAGAGGUUAGAAUGGUCUUUAGCAACUUGGAGCAAAAGGCAGAACCUGAUUUUGAAGUAUGAUGAAUGCACAAGCAGAUGAAAGAACCUCAUCGUAUGAUGUCUGGCCUCCCUAUCAACUCUGACUUUAUCAAUCUUCUUAAUGGCUUUCAAGGUGUUCUCCGUGACAUUCCUGUCAUUUCUCUCCGGCCUAUUUCGUUUUCUCUCAAAUUCAAAUGUUGAAUCCUACAAAUUUUUGCAUUGCAUCAACAAAAGAACACCGUAGCAUUAAUGAAGCUAAAGAAAAGGGUAAUAUAAGAAAAGUGGGCCAAGCGAAAUAAGAUUACAGAACUAAUUUUGCUCACCUGAGUCAUGUCCUUUCCAUGCAACCGCCUAUAAGCCUUGGUCCAUUUGACUUUGCGAGGAUUCCUCUUCAUCUUGAAGUUUUUGUGGCAUUUUGAUCUACAAAAUCUGAAGACCUGCAAAUGAAUAACCUUUAAGAAGUCUAGUGGUUAUAUUGUAAAUGCAAUCUAUAAAAAAUGUCAAGGACAAGUAAUGUAGAGGCAAAGAGAAUAGCAAUUUAAGAUCCAGAUUUAAUUUAGCAUGCUCCAACAGAUGCACAACCUAUACAAAUCUCGCAUCAGUUAGGUGAAGCACAUUUGCCAAAUUAGCCUUAAGGACUCUUGUACACUGCAACAUAUUUAACUAAUUCAGGAUAGCAGUGUCAGAGCAUCAUAUUUCCAUUGCCCGGAGAAACAUGCAGUAGCCUUUUUUAUUGUGCUCUCGCUGGUCGACAUUUCGUCUAUUUUUAUUGCUACUGCCCCCAUCAGGAACAACCAUUCCAACUACAGUCAUGCACAUGAAGGUGUGUCUAUACAUCUCGAUAUCAAAAUUUUGAUCUGGGCAUCAGAGAACAUAAGUUGCUGCUGUAGAUGCCAUAGAAUUUAAUGCAGUUUCUUAGCUGAAUCAAGAAGACAAAAUGACAAAUGGGAGUGAACAGGAAUGGGGAAAAAAAAAGUAGUUUCAUAUCGAGAAGACAAAAAUAAAAAAAUCUCAACUUUAUCUAGGGGUCUCAAAUUUCGAAAGCAAGACAUUUAUUAGAAACAAGAAGAAACAGAAAAUAAGGAACUUCACAAUUUACUAGUGGUUGUUUCUACUACAUGCAAGUUCAGUUCAAAUAUAUAUAUACAUGCUUCUGGGAAUUAGUAGUUUACACUUAAUAAAACAUUUAUAUAAAUUUGAUUAACAUACCGAAGACAUAUAUAUCAUAAGUAGGCCUGUCAAUCGGGCCUAAUGAGCCGGGCUUUGAUGUGUUCAAGCUCAGCUCAUUUAAUUUGAGACAUUUUCGGGCUUCGGGCUAUGAGUUUCGGGUUCGUAAAUGUGAAGCUCAUACUCAGCUCACAUAAUAUUCGGGUUGUGAGCCUUAAUCGGGCUUAGCCCAAGCUCACUUAUUACUCCUGAAUUUUCUUAAUAUAAUUACUAUAACUAUUAAGUUGUAAAACUAAUUUAACAUUUACAAGACUAUAAUAUUAAAACUAAACAUGAACAAAUAAUAGUUCUUAAAAAGUAUAUAAACCAAAAUUUUUUCAACAAUAUUUAUAUGUAAUCCGUUUAAAAUGCAUGAAAAAUAGUAAUAAAACAUGCAAUCAUAAGCCAAUACAUCUUUAAAAGUUGAAACUUUUUUUUAUAAUCUUGUGAUUUAAAUCCAAAUAUGCUUGAUGAUUUUUGUGUUUGUAGACCAAAAAAAAAAAUCAACCAAUAAUAUGCCAAUACAAAAAGUUACUCAACCAAUAAGAAAAAUUAGAGAUUUAGUUAUGCAUUACUAAUAUUGGCUCUCAAGAAAGCUCAUGAAAGAGUUUUAGAUGUUUUUUGUGUUUUGUAAUUUAUAUAUAUAUUUAGUAUUUAGCAAAAAUAUAUUUGGAUAUAUAAUUAUACAUAAUAUCAAAAUAUAAAUAUUAUAUAUAUGUGUAAUUAAAGGGCCGGGCCUAUAUCGGGUAUGAGCCUAAUAAGGCCCAAGCUCGGCUCACAUUUAAUUCGGGCCUAAUUUUUAGGCUCAAGCUCAGACCGGCUCACUAAAUGAUCGGGCUCAUCGGGCUUUCUGUCGGCCGAACGAGCCGAGCUCGGGCUGGCCCAGCCCCAUUGACAGUCCUAAUCAUAAGUGUUCCAAUCUUAACAAUCUCAUAGCAACCAAUCAGGGAAUCCAUUGCUUAACAUUACAGGUUUUGGCAAUUAAAGGUGUUUUAAUAAGUUUGCAAUGUUGGCGAUCUGAUAUCCAAUUUCAAUCAUAUUAGGAAGCUUAUUUUGUACAGGCUGGCUUCAUUUAUGAGUCCUAUAUUCUAGAAUUGGCAAUUAAAAUAUUCGGCUACAAUAGAAAGAGACUUGGUAUCCGCAGCAGACAUAACUCUUCUCACGUUAAUAUGAUUCAUUCUUAGAAAACUUGAUUAAGAUAUGACUGAUCCAAUGUAGCCUUGGGUUGGUACGGCAAACUAUGUCUAGGAGAGAUUCCGAUAGUUGUCUUCCUUUUGUCCUUUUUUCAAUUUCAGACGGUUCAAAUUACAAUUGAUCAUAAUGUUGUUGAACCAUAGUGCUAAAAUUAGACAACACCCUGCAUUUGAUGCCUCAUAAAGCACACAACUCUAGUUACUUAUCGUUUUACUAGCCAUCAGUCAUCUCUUAUUAUUUGCAUGUUUAUACAGUUUCCCAAGACCAGCCACAAAUGAGUUGGAACACAAGUAAAAAUGAGAACCACCACCAAAAUGAGACCAAUAAGGUAACUGGCAAAUUCAAUAAGAUAUAUAAAAUCACCAAGGUUUUAAACAUUAAAAUGCAUGAGCAAGUAGAAUUGCUAACAAGUUUGAACACACUUAUUUCACUUUUUAGAACUAUCUCUAUCCUAUCGAUUUGGCCUUAAUAUCAGUUAGCAUUGGGAAGCAUACCUAGCACAAAUAAAUCAAUCCACUAGAUCAUUCUGUGGAGAAUAUAUGAGAAGAAUUUAUCCUACCUUGCAUCUUAAAAUUCAAUGCAGUUUCUUAGCUGAAUCAAGAAGACAAAAUGACAAACAAGAAAUUGAUGGACAGUCAACCGGAGUGAGAAAAACUAGUCUCAAACCAAGAAAGAUGAAAAAUAGAAAAUCUCAACCUUUAUUUAAAGGUAUUAAAUUUCCAAAGCAAGAUAUUUAACGGAAACAAGGAGAAACUGAAAAUGAGGAAUUUCACAGUUUUUUAAUGGUUAUGACUACUAUAUGCGAGUACAGUUCAAUAUAUAUACAUGCUUCUGGGAAUUAGUAGUUUACAUUUAUUAAAACAUUUAUGUAGAUUUCAUUAACAUAAUAAAGACAGUCAUAUUAUAAAGUGUCCCAAUCUUGACAGUCUCAUGGUCUAGCCCUCACUCAUGGAAUCCAUCACUUAAUAUUAUUAGGUUUUUAGCACUUAAAGGUGCAUUAAAAAAAUGUUUGCAACAUUGGCUAUCUGAUAUCCAAUAUCAAUCCUAUUAGGAGAUUAGCUUUGUUUAUAUAGGUCUCUCUUCUAGAAUUGGAGAUUAGAAAUAUUAAGCUACAGUCCAAAGAGACUAGGUAUACAUACCAAUUAUAACUCUUCUCACGUUAAUCUGAUUCAAUCUUAGAAAAUUUGAUUAAGAUAAGACUGAUCCUAUGUUGCCUUGGGUUGGGACAGUGAAUGUUUCUGGAGAGAUUCUGAGAGGUUUCUUCGUUUUGUUCUUUUUUUUCCUUUUUUUCCAAUUUCUGGCAGUUCAAAUUAUAAUUGAUCACAAAGCUGUUGAACCUAGUGCUAAAAUUAGACAACAUCCUGCAUUUGAUGCCCCACACAAGCACACAACUGUAGUCACUUUAGACACAUGCUCCCAUGAUUUUACUAACCAUCAUCUCUUAUCAUUUGCACAUUUAUUUCAAGAUGAGUCACAAAUGAGUUGAGAAGAAGCACCACCACCAACAUGAGAGAAAUAAGUUCCUGGCAAAUUCAAUAAGCUACAUCCAAUCUCUCAGGUUUUGAAAUUAAAAUGCAUGAUCAAGUAGAAUUGCUAACAAGUUGAAGCCCACUUCUUUCUGUUUUUUAAAAAACUUUCUCUACACUAUCGAUUUGGCCUCAAAAUCAAUUUAGCACUGGAAAGCAAACCUUGCUCAAAUAAAUGAAUUCACUAGACCAUUCUGUGGAGAACAUAUGAGAAGAAAUUUAUCCUACCUUUGCGUCAUUCCGAACAAAUUGUAUUCCAUGUCCUGGAUAUACAGUAGAAGAGCAGAACCAACACUUUUCCAACCUCAUUAUGUCUUUCUAUUAAGGUUAGGAUCCUGAAAGACAAAGCAAAUGAUACAUGAUUGUUGAAAAGAAUAAACUCAGCUAUCGAUUUUACCAUGAAUGGGCUGUAAUCCUACAACAGCAACCAUGUUUAUCUUAGCUGAAGUAUUUUUGCAGACAAUUUGAAAAGAAUCCAAACAAACCACAACAGAUGAACCAGAACAAUAAAAGAGCUCACAUACUUCCACCCCCCCCCCCCGCGGGGCUCAGUCCCCUGCCCCAGGAAGGGGGAAAACAAAAAAAAAGAAGAGGAACCCAUCUAGGAUCCAUCAAGCAUAUUGUUGAGAGUUCUAUUGCAAUAGAAAGACAUCAUUUUUGAAAACGUGCAUCCAUUGAUUGUCAUCACGCUACCCUAUUCCCAUUGUUUCAAAAACGUGGCUUACAUAGACAAAAACAACCAAAAAUACCCCUCAUAAUUCUUCUUUCCUGCAAAUAGGAUUAAAUUUAUCAUUUUUUUGUCGUUCCUGUUACGUCCCAUUCAGAGGGAAGUAUAUGUUGAGCUUUCAACAAUUAAAGAUGGCUAUUCCGCAAGAUAUUCAUCAACAUUGGAUUAAGACAAAGGAGAGUUCUUUUUGCCUUUCCUCAAUCAAUUUUCAGUAAUCUUAGUCUUACUUCUUGCUUUCAUUUUCUUCUAAAAAUCCUAACUUUUUCAAGUAUAACAGAAAGACAAGAACAAUAAACACUGGUCUGGCUAUUCCUGAAACAUUCUUCAAUUAUGCAAAAAUUAGCUGACCCAUUAGCCACAGUAAUAUGAUUUAUAAUACUAAACAUCAAAUACCUAAGAAUUACAGACAAAACCAAAUUUAAACAGAUUAAUGUGAACUGAAAUUGCCAUUCCCACAUGUUAAGAAUUUCUGCCUAUUCACCAAGAACUUAAUUACUGAAUAAAAAGUGACCAAAUUCAGAAAAAUAAAUUAUCGAAAACCCAUUAAUUUGAGGACGAGAGGAAGAAAAGAUGAAGGAAGGGUAGCUCACCUGAGAUCAGGCGGUGGCGGGAGCCGCGAAGAGGCACCGGCGGCGGCGGGGGGUUUGCUGGAGGGUAUGGUUCCGCAACCUACGACUUGACUUAUAAGUGGAGAUUUUUUGGUCAACUCAACUGUAAGGUAAAAGUGAAGAUUUUCACACUUGGUCCCUAGAGAAUGAAAAAUUGAAACAAUUCACUCAAAACUUUAGAGAUUCAAAUAUUUAUCUGUGUAGAUGUCUUAUCUAAUACUAUCCAGUCCUCUUUUCAAGAGAUUGUUCCGGGCCAAGUAAGAGUUCUGCCAGCACAUAAGGAAAAAGAGGGUAUAGGGUUCUAAUUAGCUGUGAACUAAUCAUCAUUAUAGAAUAUAAAAUAUUACUCCCUUCGUCCCACUUUGAUAGUCUCGUAUUCCUUUUUCAUCUGUCCCAAAUUGUAGUCCAUUUUCCAAUUGAAGAAUGUAGUUGUAUUUUAAUUUUCCUAAAAUACUCUUAUUCAGUGUAAGUAGUUAUUACUAUAAACCUACCUCAUUUAAUGAGAGUUAAUUCUUUUUUUACCAUCAAUUCAAGUUCUCAUAAAGUUGUACCAUAUUUAAUGUGAGGGUAUUUUAGAAAAAUAGCAAUCUAAAUUUACUUUUCCAACAAAAUUAACUGCUUUACUUAAAUUAUGUGAAAAAAGAAAUAGGACUAUUAAAGUGGGACGGAGGGAGUAUUUGAGUGAUUGAACUCAGGUAUGGAUACUCGCUGAUAUGUGAAACCAAUAAGAGUUAAAAAAUUGUUGACUUGGAAGGUGUGAAUUAGAUCAGCCAAAUGAUGCAUUGGGUGGUAUCCGACCCAUGUCCACUCCUAUAUAAAAUUAAAUGAAUUUUGAAAAACAAAAGUCUUAGUUUGGCUUUUAAAAUGGCAAACAAAAUGUUUUUGCAUAUUGAGUUUGUGAGUGGAUUCAAUUCAUUUUGCAACACUCAUGAAUGCCAAACUUACACUAGGCCAAACGAGUGUACGAAUAUCCUUAAUUGCUUAUGGAGGCAAAAUUGAGUUGCACUAGAUGUAUUCAGUUAGUUACUAAAUUACAUUAAACCUUUACCGAAUUGAACAUGACUGUAUACCAAAUAAGGUGAUAAUUAUAUUGGUAAAAUUGUUGACACUAAAUUACUUAAUUCAAAUUGAAUUAAGUUUCUUCAUUUGUUUAUCAAAUUUGGGUUAUCGAUAAAAUUUUGCAAAUUUUAAACAUUAAACAACAGCAAGUUAUCUUGAUUAGUUGUAAAUUUUAGUUAUAACCAACAAAAUGAAAACAAAAGCUUUUAAUUGUCUAUUGAACCAGCUAGUUUUUGUUGUUCCAUAUUAUUAUUAUUAUUAUGAUUAUUAUUAUUAUUAUCAUCAUCAUCUAUACAAUAUAUAAUGCAUGAAUAAUGGCAAUUGAUGUAAACAUCUUUUGUCAUCUUUUGAACUUUUAAUUUUACCCUUACAAAAAUUAAUUUUUAUCUUAAUCACCUAGUCAUAUUUUACGAAUAUAACUAAUUAUUAUUGUAACUACCAAAUCACCAUAAUCAUAUAAACCAAAAUUCUUCCAUGAAAAUUUUAUAUAAAUUUUUUGUAUGUAACAAACAAAAUCUAUACAAACUUGAUUCAUUUCAAUUGCUUCCUAAUUGCACACACAUUUGGGUGUGCCUUAACAUUAGUAAUUUCUGUCGCUUAUCCAAAAAUAAAGAAGUUUUGGAGUUUGAGGUACUUAGUUAAGAACAGUUUGGCAAGCGUACUAAAAACAUAGAGGGCUCUGUAUUUCUUUUUUUUUUUUUUGACGAAAUGGUAGGAUUGUAUUAUUGAGACAAAAGUAUUUACAUGUCGAAUCUUACAAUGUGCCAUUAGCACAAUAAAUUGGGAUUAACCCAUUCCACAUCUUGGUAAACGCUCAACGCUUGAUCACUAAACUGAAAACUUAGAUCAUUCCUAUUAACUACUCCUAGGUAAAAGCAGCAUUUGUUAAACAUAGUACUCAGCUUUUGGAUGUCAUGUAUCAAUGUUGUUAUCCAUGCAUCCGUUGAUUUUGUCCCUCGAAUUUGCUAUAGGAGAUUUUGUCAGGAACUCCACUGUUGACUAGUCUCCAUCCCUCUUCCCCUGCCUUGAUUAGAGCAAGCUUAGCUCCUUCAGAAAGAUGUUGAAUUUGAUUCUCACUUGCUCUUUCUCUCAUUGCCCAUCGCAUUAGAUCUUGUCCUCUUCCAUCAUCUGCCACAAUGCCAUACCUUACAGCCUUUGCCUCUUUGCUCCAUUGUAUAGCUAUCCUCAGAUGCAUUCCUGUUGAUAUAAUAUCAGCGUUUUGUCUAGCAUUUUGGACAUUGUGUUGCUGUGUACUAUUGUUUUGCCUAUGCUACAACUCCUAGCUUUCCCUGCUGCAUUGUCAAAUUCCAUCCAAGCAUUACAGGCUUUAGUUAUCACCCAAGAUGGAUCCUGUAAUUUGCUGUUGAACUCCUUCUCAUUCCUGGUUCUCCAUAUUUGCCACAAGGUGUAGGCCGUGAGACCUAUGUGAUCUUUCCCUUGAACCCUGUGUCUUGCUUCAGUUACUGAUGCCCAGUUUUUGAAGUUUCCUGUCAAGUUUUUAAUUCCAUCCCAUUGCACUGGAGCCAACUUCCAUAUCUCUUUAGCUCUGCUGCAAUCUAGCAACAUAUGUUCCAGUGUUUCCAUUUCCUCUCCAGAACUUGAACAUAUUAGAUCUCGAAUCUUCACCCUUCCUUGGGUCCUUUCCAAAUGAACAGUUUAAUUUUGUGACUAAUGUCUAAGCUCCAAAGUACCUUCCAAGCUUGUUGGUUUAUUGAUCUCUUCCUUGCCUCUGCCUCUUCUGCCCAUUACUGUUUUAUACCGGAUUGCACUGUGCAUUCUCCCAUCUUGCACUCUCUCUUCUUUACCUCCAGCGCUGAUGCUUGUAUUCAGCAACACAGUAAAUUCAUCCUACGGGUUUCAUAUAUAGUAAAGUCUUUGAAAACACCCCAGAAUAUAUUUUAAAAAUGAAUAAAAUAGAAAUUUUAUUAACAAAUACUAAAGUAUUAGGAAUAUGUAUGUAAUUUCACUAUUAAUAUAUAUAUAUACACACACACUAGUAAUAGUUCACGUGCUUUGCACGUGAUUGUAAUAUCUUAAAUAUAUUAUUCUUUAGAUACUAAAAUUUUUUAUGAAAAUUUGAUCAUUAACAUCAUAAUAUAGUAUUUUAUGUUAUUUAUUUUUUUAAGCUAGUUACUUUUAAAAAUUUUAUUAAAUGAAAAGAGACCGAAAACAUUCAAUGUAAUUGACAUUUCCUUUAGGAUUGAAUUUGGAAUCAUGUACCGAACACUUUUUGAUUUAUUGUUUGAACUCUAACAUUUCAAAUAUUGAUAACAUCAUGUUUUACCAAAAUUAUUGUAUAUUCAUGAUUCUAUUGCAUAUAAACCAUAAUCAUUGUAAUUUUUUAUAAACAAGGAAUAUAAUUAAGCUAGAAAAAUAAAUGAACAUACAUGUAAUUUUAAAUUCUUUGUAUUAUGUUGAUUCUAUGUUUGUCAAUAAUGGAGUAUAAAUGAUUCAUGAUGUAAAGUUUUUUUUGGCUUGUAUAUUCUGAAAAUUGAAAGUUUAUAGAUAGAGAUAGUUAGAGUUUUUCUAUUUUCCUUUUUUAUUCAUAUCUUUAGCACAAUCCAAUGCGAAGCAAAAGCAACAAGUCUACUUGUUUCAUAUGAGCACAAUAUUUUUCGUUUUAGUAUUAGUUUUUUUGAUGAUCAUGGAAUUGGAGUGCAGAAUUGUGGCUAAUUAACAAUUUUAAUAUUUAUUUUUGUAUAUUGCAGUGUUAUAUUUUUAAUUGCCAAUUUUUAAUCCAUAAGAGCCAUCAUUAUUAUCGAUUAUUGGAAUGCACUAAAUGUCUAAUUACAAUUGUGACCACAAAUAAAAUUUACUUAAUUUUAAGUUUUCAUUUCAUAACCGUUUCCAUUAUUCAAAUAUUGCAAUACAAUAAAUAUAUGUAAUCAUUAGAAAAAAAAGGGUAUUUUGGGCAUCACCAAAAAAUUUGGAUAACAUUUUCAUUUUAACUUUACUCUUAGUAUAUUCUUAUUUUAUCAUUGGAAAUGGCUUCUGCCUUGAUAGAUGGAUUUGAUUUGUUCAACCAAUACAAAUGAAGCAUUACAUAUUAUUGUCAAUAAUAAUGUUGUCUUUCCUUGGAUAUAAGUGAUUUGAAUGUUGUCUUUGGUAUUAUUUGAAUUGUAUUCUAAAUUUUUUAAUUCAUUUGCUAUUUACUAUGUCAUUUUAUGAAUAGUUUUCAAUUAUUUUUUUAAUUUUCUUGUUUUAAUUGAUGCUAUUAAUGAUAAUAGUGGUUUGUAUAUUGCUAUUUCAGAUUUCUUUUUUUUUUCCAAUUUAAUACUACUAUUUCAGUUAUAAAUAUGUCAUCAUAUUUUGUAUAUUGAAAUUCCAUUGGGUGCAAUAUGACAAAUUCUUUAUAUUAGCAAAAAGUGCAUAAUUGUAAAAUUUGCUCGUGAUAUUUGUAUGAAGAUAUACAGAUGAACAAAUGUUCUCUUCGUCUUGUAUGUUUUUCAUUUUCUAGAGAGUAUCUAUAUUUUGACAUGAUUUUUUUUUUUUUUACAAUCUUAACUAACGACUAAUGAUAAAUAUUUCAUGUUUCAAUUAAGAAAUUUUGAUACGUAUAAAAUGGAGAGAUGGAGUCAAGGAAGGUAAAUGUUUUUUAAUGAGCAAUUUUUAAUUAUAAUUACCAAUACUAUCAAGAUGUAAUCAAUUGGAGUGUUUUAUUUCUUUAAUUAGUGCCACAUUAAAAUGCAAUAUUCUAAUUAAAAGAUACGAGGGUAAUUAAGGGAUAACAAAAACUAAAAUAAAAAAAAUUACACUUAUACUCCCUAAUACCAAGAGUGGAGUGCAAUGGUAGGUAAAUAGUUUUUAAUGAGCAAUUUUUUAAUUAUAAUUAUCAAUACUAUUAAGAUGUAAUCAAUUGGAGUGUUUUAUUCUUUUAAUUAUUACCACAUUAAAAUGCAAUAAUUCUAAUUAAAAGACAUGAGGGUAAUUUAGGAAUAACAAAAACUAAGAUAAAAAGUGCUUACACUUACACUCGCUAAUAUCAAGAUUCAUACUUUUUAUAUAGUAAUAAUGAUAAUGAAUAUAUAAUUGAGCCUACUCGUGAGUUAAGGAGUUGAGUAUUUUGAAUUUGAAUUCGACUCAAACUCGAUGAGUUUUGAUUGGAGUUGUUCGCGAGUGGUUUGACGUAUAUGCAGCUCUAGUGUGCUGAUUAUCUUUGAGUAAUAUCAUUGCAUCGAGAUUAAGUGGUGGUAGAUUAUUUGAAUUUCAAGUAGAUCAUCUGAUACAAGACUUUUACUCUACCUACACCAGCGUGCAAGCUCGCCAACCUACUACUUAGCCAUAUAUUUAUGGUGUUAACCCACUUUCUCUAGAGGAGUUGGUCAUCACAUGUCUUGUGCGUGUGAAAAGUUAAGGAUUCAAACCUUACCUCCUAUAAAAAAAGUUACAACUUAAUGUGGUUUCGCUUAAAUCUAUUAUGAUCUGAUGGUGAUUCACUCUCCGUCGAUUCUCCGUGACCUGAUGGAUCAUCUCCUAAUAUAUGUUAGAGUACAAAUAGGUGUAGAUGGUAAUAAUAAACAUAUAUAUAUAUAUAUAUAUAUAUAUAUAUAUAUAUAUAUAUAUGCGGUGUUUGGUGUGCUAUGCUAGAUUUUUUUUGCCAACCUCCUACUUAGCCGUAUAUUUACGGUGUUUGGUGUGUGAUAUGCUAGACUUUUUGCUUGUACUUUUGCCAUUAGCCGUAUAUUUAUGGUGUUUUGGUGCGUGAUAUGCUAGUUUUGCUUGUACUUUUGCCACGUAAUAUGUUACUACGUGAAACUUAUCAAAUGAUGCAUCAAAAAUUGUCCGCAUGGUUAUUGGUUGAUAUUGUAGUCACUUGUAGUUAUUUUUUUCAUCAUCUAUUUAUCAAGUGUUUCAUUUUACCCUUCUCAUUCCAAAAUGUUGAAUACAAAAACAUUUAAAACCAAAUUCAUUCCUAUAAUCCUCGAAUUACUCGAGUAAACAUAAGCUAGAUUACUGAUGAUGGGCAAUUCACUAGUAUGCAGAAUUGACCACAAAACAGAGAAUCUGAAUUGGUCGUUGUGCCAUAUGCAUCACAUGGAUGCUUCACCUACCUUUUUAGUUUAGUAACUGACUCUUACCUGUCAUUCUCAAUUCUACCAUCUCUACGGACCGACAGGAUUGGGAGCAGGCUAUGUUUGUCUUAUAUUUUGGUAAGUAGUAUCAAGAAGCAAGAGCUAAGUAGUAAGCACCACUGGUACAGCAAAUUUUUAGUGUCUGUUUUAAGCUUUUGAUUAUGGACAAGUCUAUUUAUAGCUCCACUUCUUUUGUUUAUGUGCUUUGGGGACUGUAGAGGAGAAAUUGGCAGAGCCCAGAUAGGGAAAGAAGGGGAGACAUGGGGAAGAGCAUUAGUGAUGUGGGAGUGGAAGACUUGGUUGGAGCAGGCCUGUCAGUUGAGGAGGCAAAAGGGUUCCAAAGGCACCUCAAAGAUUCGAUUUUUAAGGUUAGCAGAAAUAGUGAUAAUGGGGAGGAGCCGUUUGACCCAAGGAACUAUGGAGGGAGCUGACAGCCCAGAAAUUGUUGAAACCAUGGCAUCCACAUGCUCUUCAUCAGCUCAUUUACUAUUCUGUUUAUCAUAACUAUGAUGAGUCCACCAAUGGGCCUCCUAUCUAUUGGUUCCCUUCACUGUAAGCACUGUAUUGAUGAUUCUUUUCAAGUCUUGGUUGAUUUUUACGAUUUUGAUUGGGUCUGACAGUUUGGAAUUCUGAAGCUUUUCUGCUUCUUCUUCUUUUUUUCUUUUUUGGGAAUUUAUAAAAGAUUAAUGCAGUUGAAAAGUUUGAAUCUUGUGACAUUGUAUUAGUAUGGGAGUUCUGAGGGACUAUGCUGUCAGGUGAUAAGAAAGUCAAGACUUUACCAAACAAAAAGAAAUGCAAGUCAGACUUUCAAUGUUGAUUCUCGUGUUCAAAAAUUUAGAUACCAUUUUGUUGUUAUAAAGCGUCCAACUCUUUUAAAAUAGAAAUGUGAAUUUCAAGGUUUCGAUCUUGAAGUUUUGCUUUUGUGACAGACAGUAAAGUUCUUUUAGGACGUAUACAAGUUGAAACUAAUGAAAUUCAUUUCAGGGCCUGGGGGUUAUUAAGGCAUGGAUAGAUUUUUCUUCCAUUCACUGCAACAGAAAUCGUAAGAACUUUUUCCUUUGAAAAAUCAAACUGCCCUUUAGGCAUAAUUUUGGUCAAUGCAUUGAGAGAAGCAGAAAUUGAACAAUUUUUCAGAACCAAGAGAGCAAUUUUGUUGCAAUUUUCACUUGAUGAUUGUACAUGAGCAGGCAACCAGAAUCUGCUUUCUGCAGUUUGAUGAAAGGCUUGCAUAUGUAUUUCGCUUUAGUAUCCAUAAAUGUCAUGUUUUCUUGCAUAAAUAAAUGAUGUAGACUGACCAUUUGAUAUGAACUCGGAACUGAGAUAUGGAUAUAUUCUGAGUUGUAAAUUACACACAUAUGCAUGAUUAGACAAUAAUUAGGCAGAUAUGGAAAAUUUUGUGUCUAAAAUGCAAAUGCAGGGCAUGAGUGUUGGACAUAUUAACCAACAAGAAAACUCUUCUCUAGUUGUUGAUAUGGUGCAGCUUAUAUUUAGCUCAAAUUUAUAAAGGCCCUUACACCCUUUUUAGGUUCAUUUAACUGCUUGAGGAUGGGAGCCUAGCUGGUGGAGACCAUAAACUUUUGCUUGUAUUAACUUUAAAAUUUCAAUGUGUGAACCGAACUUUCAGUGUCUUCAAACCUCAAUUUCAAUAUUGUCUCUUGCUGUAGUAGGUCUAAUGGUUGUUGCUUCCGUCUUGCCAUUGUUUGGCAAGUGUUUUAUGUAGAUUUGCCAUGGGUAACAUAAGGUAGAAAGAAAAAGAAAAAGCAAGGAAAAGGAUCUUUUGGACAUUUAAGCGGAAACUCCUUCGGAGAUCUGAAUUCAUGUCUUUCCUAGUGCUGGUGUCUUAACACUUUGCAUUUGUAGUCCUGUAAAGAAUUAUAUUACAUGGUAUGACAAUGAAGGCAACCGUACAGCUUGUCAAUAGUUGGCUGAUAACAAUGAUCUUCAUGUUUGAGCGUGUAUUGGUUCGUUUUUUCUGAUCUCCCUGAUGCAAGUUGGUUAAUCUUGUUUUCUUGAUGAUCUUGUGGGAUGAAUUGAUCAAAGGUGUAAAGCAACUUUAAGAAAUCACAGGCCUAAUUAAUUCUAUGGACUAAGCGCAUGUUAACCUUACUUGUCCUAGUAAUCAAAAUGUGGUAUCAAAAUGGUUUAAAGCAUGAAGUUAGGCCAGAAACAUGAAAAUUGAUUGACCUUUAAUGUCUAUUCUACAUGAAUACUUCAAUUCCUAACCAGACACCAGGACUUUGAUAAUGAAGAUCUAGUCAAUUGAUGUUUAUUCUUCCAGCAUUAGGUUGAUUCCAGCAUAAUCUUCAUGUUAGGUACCAGUCUAAAAAUACAAAUUUGGGACGCCUAAUGGAAACUCAUUGUCCAAGCUUCUGGGAGCACUAUACAAGGACCAAUUGCAAAGUUUUAGACAAUUUCAUAGAUUCUCCGUUGAGCAGCCUGAGGCAUGUACUCAAUUAUUACUAUUGUAAUCUUUUGUAAUUUAUGAAAAUUAUAUUUACUGUUUAAUCCAAUUUUUCUUUGUUGCUGAACAACUUUUUGUUGCUUUUACAGGUUUACUGGUCAAUUGUUCUGGACCAUCUCUCAAUUAAAUUUCUUAAAGCUCCAGAUUGCAUCCUUGAUACUUCAGACAAAUCAAAACAUGGGGAAAAUGGUUUCCAGUUCAGUGUUGAAUAUUGCCGAGUGUUGCUUGAUUCCAAGCAGUUGUCCAAAGAAGGAAGAUGACAGUUUAGCUAUAAUAUGGAGAAAUGAAGGAUGUGAUGACUUAGAUGUUAGUCAGAUGACACUAAGAGAGCUUCGAGAACUAGUAAUGUGAGCUCUCACUUUGAAUACUCGGCUCCAUGAACAUACUUGUAUUGAGAUUUACUAGUCAUUACUUCAGAAGUCGUUUUCUUUGGUGGUCACCAUGUAAUUUGUAAAAGCUGGCUCAGUUGGCCUUAUGGUGGGCUAGGGUUACCCUAUGAGAUUUUCUAUGCUGUGAAAGCAUGGUAUCAGUGCUCUAGGGCUUGAUUUCCCAAGCUGUCAGUGCUUCUUCUGUACAAAAUCGAAGCCCCUCCUGGCCACUCACAAGCCUACAGCAUGUAGAAUUGGGAAUCAGUGAACUGAUACAGUCCUGCUAAUUAGGUGACAAUGUUUCCAGUCUAGCUUCAGGAGCUUGAUCCUUACAAGCUGCAUCUAACAAUUUUCUACAGAGUAACAACCCAAAAACAACAGUUUCAUCUAGUAUUUUAUUUCUUGUUGUUGUUCCUUUUUUUCCUUUCUUAAUAUUUAUUCCAUGCUAGUGUGCUUCACUAACAUACAAUCUUUGAAAAGUAUUUACCAGGGCCAACAAAGAUCUCCUUAGGAACAUGGCAUGUUUAUAGAGUGUCCUCCUUACCUACCUUAGGUCCAAGAUGUUCAGUCUUUGUUUCUUUCCCACUAGUAAUGAGAAUUGGUUUCCCUAGAGUGCCAGAGGAUAACAAAGUUUCUUCAGAUAAAUGACCACUUCAUUCUUUUGUUCAUACAAGCUUCUUGUUUGCUAGGCUCAUGUUUUCUGUUGUUUAUUGAAAUCAACCUUCUCUGUCUAUUCCUUUUCUCACACCAAGUUUUCCAUAGGUUAGUGGCAAAUGUGCGCUGCAAAAUUCUCAAAGGGAGAUGCAAUUGCAAUUGACAUGCCAAUGACAGCGACUGCUGUUAUUAUAUAUCUAGCAAUUGUGCUUGCAGGUUUGGUUGUUGUCUCAAUUGCUGACAGCUUUGCAGCACAGGAGAUCGCAACCCGGUUGCGUGUGUCUACAGCAAGGGCUGUAUUUACUCAGGUAGUUCAAUAUAAUCUGUACAAGUCUUUUACUUUUAAAUUACAAAACUGGUAUUGAACUUGUGUACAAAUAUCUCAUGUUUAGCUUUAUGCGUUUGGUUGAUGCCUGUAAUUCACCGUAAAUCUUAAUGGUGAUUCUUUAGUUCGAGUGCUAUGAACUCCAAAAAUCUCAUCCAAUCUUUAUGGUGAAAAUGUUUCCUUUUAGUGUAUUCUGAUGUUACACAUGAUUCCUAUUUGAAAAUUAUAUUCUGGCGUGGUAGAUUCUUUUCUCCAAGUUAUUACAAUUUCGGGCACCAACAGUUGCGAAGAAAAUAUAACUGUAGCCCAAUAAUGUAUAAAAUGCACUGUUUGGACCAAUCCUUUAAUCUGCUACUGAUUUGGUUUACUUCGACUGGCUGGUUGCAAGUUAAUUUGUUUGAUUUGUCUGUUUAAGGCAGUUUUUAGUGGUUGGAAUUGCUUCUAAACUAUUGAGAAAAUUCAGGAUUUUAUUCUACGAGGAGGUCGAAAAGUUCCUUUAUACAGGUAAUGAUUUGCAUCUCAUCUUGGAUUGGGUCAUAUUACUUAGUAGCGAAGCUCUUACUAGUUCACUCAAUAACUUAACAAUAGUGUUUUCCCUCACCAUCUGGUUUCUUUAUCAGAGUUCUAUUGUCUGUUAUCAUCUGUAAGCAUCAUGGACAGUGAUGGGUACUUUGACCUGGAAUUUAUUUUGUAAAAUUGGACUAUAUCAUGUAUCAUCAGUAUUUAGGAGCAUUCGAACUCUUAUUAGAACAAACUGAGACUGAGAGAUAGAGAGUCCAAAAGAAAAGAAAACCAAGGGAAGAAAGGAAGAACCAAAUAAACAGUGGAGACAACAAGUAAUAACUCAGAGACUAAAAGAUUUCAGCGAACAAUAAUGUGUUACCAUACAAGUCACCGUUUACCUGAUCAUGUAGCUCCUUUGAUUCAGGAAUUCAGAGCAGUGCUAAUUUUCAUUGCACUGUUUGAAUGCCUUCAGUUUCCAGACAUCUCGUGCAUAUGCUAACUAUUUUUUCAUUCUGCUUUCUUAUUGGUUUUCCUUGCAUCACAUAAUUGGUUUAGAAGUACUUGGCUUUAAGAGUUUGAUUAAUCUGAAAGCUAAGCUCAAUUUUCAAUCUAUUGAUCUAAACAAAAUCCAUGAGAGAAAAGUCUAUUCGUUAAACACAGAGAAUUUAAGGAAGAAGUCCUUCGAUUAGUGCAGAGGGGGUUAACAAUGAUGGAAGAUCUAACGGGAUAAUGGAAUCCUAAGGAAAGAUGUGUUCAAAAUUUGAUGGUUCCUAGUCUCUACAAUGGUUAUUGUGAUCAGAUUUGUUUUUGCAGUCGAGUGGUGGAAGCUGCUCCUUAUGAAGCUAUUGUAAUUCCUGCAUCUGGAAAGGAGUUAGCUGUCCAGUUAAGAUGCCAAGAUUUGUCUUGGAAUGAUUUUCUUUCUAGUGUGUGUAUCCUUCCAAGGUAAUAUGAUACUGUUCUCUGAAAUUGCUUUUUCUUUUAAAACAUGUAUGAUUCACUAAGAAAGGUACAUGUCUAACUUUUAAAAAUGUAUAAAUCUCUUCCAAUUUACUGAAUAUGUAAUUUUGAAACAUUUUCCAUUCUGGCAGUUCAAAUUACUUCACACCAGCUUAUCAACCUAUAGACUCUGUCACAAUAUCCUAUUUUCAUCAGGAACCACAGGUUAAAAAGUUAUUUUUGAUGGCUGCUUAUACCUCCACUUUAUUAUAUUUUUAUUUUAUCAUGAUUUUCUACAUGUUUUUGUGUUUAUGCUUGUUGUUCAAUAGGAGAACCAAAAGCUAUUCCAUGGACCAGCAUUCUCCCAUUAGGUGUGCUGCUGAUACAUGGGCACAUAUUGAUGUUCAAGAGGGAGAUGUUUUCUGCUGGCCUACAAAUUUAGGUUGGGUGAUGGGCCAAUAUUGCUUAUUCAUGCUUUCUGUCUGGCGGAACACUUGCUCUAUAUCAUGGUUCUCCUUUAGGCCGUGGUUUUGGGAAAUUCAUUCAGGUGAUUGCCACAGAUUCCUGUGUCAGUUAAGAGUAAAAUCAUUUCUCCUUGAAAUGAGGAGAAUUGUUAUUUGAUCCUAAUAAUGAACAUGCUGCGCACAUUGGUCCCUUACAAAUGCCAUUACUGCUAACACGAAUAUCCUACCAAUCCCCUACUCUUGCCUCUUUCCAAUUUAUGUGCUUUAUUAGGAUGCAGGAGCAACUGUAUUGGGUACUGUUCCAAGCUUAGUUAAGACUUGGAAGAGUACAGGGUGUAUGAAUGGCCUAAAUUGGACAAAGAUAAGGUAUUGUCUGUGACAUUUAUAUUUAAGUGGUUCUAAUGGUUUGCCAAUAAAGUACUAGAGUUUAUAAUCUUGUGCAGGACUUUUGCUACCACUGGAGAAGCUUCAAACAUAGAUGAUGACCUUUGGCUUUCUUCAAAGGCUUACUACAGUCCCAUUGUUGAAUGCUGUGGAGGCACAGAGCUUGCAUCAUCAUAUAUCCAAGGAAACCCUUUACAACCACAAGCAUUUGCAGCAUUUAGCUCUGCAUCAAUGUCCACAAGUUUUGUCAUCCUGAAUGAAAAUGGGCUUCCUUAUGUAAGCACUUUGACUGGUGUCUACAAGGCUUCAGUAUUAUUUAUUGCAAUAGAAUUGCUGCAGCAAAUACUUUUGAGUUCUGCAAUCAUUUAUGAAGAGUGGCUUAUUUUCUGUUCAAUAGGCUGUAUUGCCAAGUGACUUGUUGUUGCUGUUUCUUUGUGCCUCUUACAGUAGUAUCACUUGAACAAUUUUAGUAGACCUUUCAAUUGAGAUCGACUGAUGCUUAAUAUCUAGUUUUUAUGGUACAGCCAGAUGAUCAAGCAUGCAUUGGUGAAGUGGGUUUAUUUCCUCACUACAUGGGAGCAACUAAUAGAUUGUUGAAUGCUGAUCAUGAGGAGGUGUAUUUCAAGGGCAUGCCAUAUACAAAGGAAUGGUAUGCUGUUGUUUGACUUGAAUUACUUCCUUUUUUAGGUUUUAUAUAAAGUUGGAUUACCUGUUUAUAUAGCAAUGCCUAGAAAAUUCGCUUGAAAAGUCAUUUCAACAAUUCUCAACUUUACCACACAUUAUCAUGGACUAUAAAACAAGCUGCAGCAAAAUGAUUUCCAGCCUUUGAGCUAUGUAGUUGCUUUCUUUAGCUGCUGUUCCUAUCGUGUUUGCAAUCCUUGAGAUUUGGCCUCAUUAGCUGUGCACAAGUGUCAGUGGAGCUACCAGGAUUAAAACAGUGCACUGGUUAAAGGAACAGAAAGUAUGUGGUUGGAGUUCCCAUGCUUGUAAACUUGGGCAUAAAUUCAUGAUUGCAUUGUUUUUGUGAAUGAUUUCAAGGCCUCAAGCAUCAGUUCACAGAAUCCAAAAUAACAGUGUGCCUAGGAGGAAUCAUGCUCUUUCUAACAAUUUUUGUCUUGUUUAUCCAUUGAUAGGUGAGACUUCCUUGGGAAGAAUAAUAUGAGAUACAUAACAGUAGAAACAGCUGGUUCUCUGUAGGAAACAGCUAUGCAUCAAGACUAUUAAAUGCAAACCAAUACUAAGAACCACUUCAAGUCUAGUCUUUCUCAAUGGAUGAGAGCUCUGGAUUUAUACUUAUAGAAUUUCUGUGGAUAAAAUCGGGUGGUCCUUUACUUCUUUUAUAACUUAAUUUCUAUUCUCAGCAACUUAGGCGACAUGGUGACAUCAUCAAACGCACUAUUGGAGGGUUUCUCAUUGUACAAGGCCGGGCUGAUGAUACCAUGAAUCUGGGGGGAUAAAGGUAUAUCUCUAUCAUACUGCAGAUACAGUCUCUUUACCUGCGCUAUCUUUCUGUCUGUCUACAGUUUUAUCUUUUUUGUUUUGGAGAUUGCUGCUCUAGUUAAUUCGAAAAACACCGAGAGCUAUUACCCUUUUCUUAUUUUGUAGCUUGCCUUUUUACCUAUGUUUUACUGAGAAAACUGAUUGUAUUCGUAUAGAGUCCAGGAUGGAAGAUUUCUACCUAAAAUUUUCUUUUGAGACAUAACUUCUUGAGUUGGAAAUGGAUUUAAUUUUCUUCUCUAAUAUAAUAGAAUGGCUGGCCUUGAGCUAUUAUUGGUUUUCUGCAAGUCAGUACUUUGUUAGUUUGCUACUUAUUUAUUUAUUUUUAUUCCUGUGCAGACUAGUUCAGUUGAGAUUGAGCGUGUAUGUAACCAGGCUCAUGAUGGUAUCUUGGAAACUGCCGCAGUCAGCACUCCACCGCCGAAUGGUGGCCCAGAGCUGUUGGCUGUAUUUGUUGUGCUAAAGGAAGGAAUCCGUGCUGACCCUGAUUUGCUGACGAUGAAAUUCUCAAGAGCCAUACAGAGCAACCUCAACCCUUUAUUUAAGGUUUGCCAAUGCCCCUGAAAAUGCAGUGAUUGUCUUGUUUUCAUAUUCGAUUACUUUAAUUCUUGGGGUGCUAAUCCGUGCAGCACCUAACCAUUGGAGUAUACAUGCUAGACAAGGACUAAUGUAGAGUUUACAAAGAAAAUCACAAAGAACCUUAGUCACAGCAAUGACUUUUCUUAUUUUUUCCCCCCUUUCUACGAACAAAGAAUCUGAAUCCAUUCCAUGUCAGCGAUGGGGUUAGUUCGAUGUUCUGACUUCUCCAAACCCCUGAAAUUGAAAUGAAUGACAACCUUGGGAUAGGUACCUAAAGUUUGUAUAACCUUUACCAUGACACUGAGAAACAUAUUCCUAGGAUAUUGAGUCUAGUGCAGUUUGAAGUGGAUGCCAUGUAAAUAACAUAUUGCAUGCUUGCCUGUCCCAAGUAGUUUGUUCAAGAUCCGUGUAGAUAGAGGGUGUCUUUUUUUUUGCGAAACAAUAGACCCUACAUUUUGUUCUAUACUAUGGGGAGGGGAGAGGGGGGGACCUAAAGAGGCCUAGAGAAAACCGGAGGGGACUAAACCACCUACUGGCCCAAAUAAGUGCACUAUGCACUCGUCCGGUAGCCACUUGAAGUGGCCUGCCACAUUUAGUGGCAAAUGGGGGAGGCAGGGUUUGAAACCCUGACCUCCCACCCCACAGAGAUAGGUAGUAUUAUUCUGGCCCACUUUACUGCUGAACUUAUAACUUAAUUGCUAUAGAUAAUUUUCCAUACCAAGUGCCAGUAAUACUCAGUACUUGGUGAUCAUGAAUCUUGUUGAACAACACACUAUAUGGAAGUUUUACAAGUCAAGUUAUACUUUAGCAUCAUCUCCCUUGGCCAGUCAAACUUAUAUCGGACAAAGGAUUUUAAUGUUUCUGUGCAAGAGCAGAUGUGCUACUGUGAAGUGCAUUAAAUUUGUGCGCCGCAAGAAAACAUUCGGUAGCAGUUGGAUGAGAUGGGAUACUCAAUCUAUUCUCUAAUCUUCUCUUUUUCUUCCCUGUUGAAAGUGAACCAGAGUCACUGAUAAAGUCACAUUGCACUAAGUUUGGUUUGAUUGGUAUAGGUGUCUGAUUUCUGUUCUAACUUAAUGUAGGUAAGUUUUGUGAAGAUUGUCCCUGAGUUUCCUCGAACGGCAUCAAAUAAGCUUUUAAGAAGAGUUUUAAGAGAUCAGUUGAAGCAGGAGCUUAACAUACGGAGCAAGAUCUGAACAUGGGAUUGAUGUUUCCAAAACUUUGUGCAAUAAUUACUUUAUUUCCUAUUCCUGACAGGACUACGUGCAAUAAGAUCAUUGAGUGGUUAGUUUCUAUGUUUUCCAUCAUAGCAAAGAACUGUUGAUAUUGUGAUCAUGGGGUCAUAUAAAGAAAUUGGUUUUGUUAUAAAGAAGUUAAAUUUACUCGAACUAUUAGUACAACCUAGUUCUGCAUCUAUAGUGAUAAUAUACUGUGUUGCAGAAUUUGUACACUUUUUUUUUUUUUAAUCCCUCUGCUUUUCAGCUUGGUUAAAGCAAGUGUAAAACCAAAACGCAUCAGAAAAGAAAGUAAACUGGUCCUUCGUUGCUGGUAAAAGUCCCUGCGGGCUAUCAUUUUGUUAAGCAGGUUUAGUAGGCCAAUUGGGAGUUUAGUUGGAGAUGGAGCUUCUAUUAGAGGGACAGAAGUCUACCACAAAGAAGCUUUGCAAACUUUCAAGGAAUUCGCGUCUACCUAUAUGCAUUACAUGCAUACUGGACAGAAGUCUGAUCUGAAAUUCAUCUGAUCAACCAAGAUAUAUAACCAAAUGUAGUCAUGUAUAAAACUGGACUGACUUCAUUGACAAUACAAAACAAUCAUUUAUAGCCGUCAAAAAAAAUAUUUACGGCUGUUGAAAAAAAAUUAUUUACAACCGUCUCAUGUCUCAAUGUCAAUACAUCAAGUUAUGAACAAAUUACUAUAUCAACAAUCCGAACUUCCUACCUACUUGGGACUGUACAAUUCAGAGGAAAAUACUACUCUACAUUAGUCCAAGAAUUCAGAGAGGAAAAUGCUACCCUACAUUAAUUGACAAUCACCCUUUCUUCUGCUUUUCCAAAUCAAAAAUAUGCUUCCUCCAAGAAUUCCUCCCUCAUGCGCAACCUGAGCUGUUCUAAAGGGUUCACAAUGUUGCCAUUCUUCAGGACUCUCAGCACCAUGACAGGUUGAUACCCGCAGCGGUCGUAGACAGGAGAACAUUCGCUUAACAUCUCGAGUUCCUUGAGAAUCAUCAGAUUUUCCUCGAGUUCAAGCUCUGCUUUCCUUUUCAUUGUCUCCAAAGUAACCCUGGCAGCUUCCCUUUGUUGACCAUGGAAUUGAAGUCCAUCUUUUGGUUUUAGCAUAUGUUAGGUAUAUGGCAGUUAUCUAGGGAGAAAUAGCUAUAUUUAUAUUGGUUUCAAAUCGUGGAAUGCUAUGAUAUGUAAAUGUUUGACAUGGUUAACUUUUGUGGUUUGACAUAUUAUGGUUGCCUACUAAUGAUAAUUUGUAAAAUUUUGGUUGAUAUUUUCCUUGCAUACUUUUAUAUUUUGAUUGGGUGGAGUGUCUAUACAGAUGAUAUGGUCACUUUCUUAUCACUAAAAUUGCUGGGCUUAAAAAAGCUAAAUGGUGAAAUUAGAAAUUAAUAUGUUAUAGUGAUACGGCUGUUGUCAGGAAAAAUGACCUUGUAUUGUCAUUAAAAUUUUAAGCAAGUUUCAAUGCAUGACUUUUCUUGACAAUUGAAACUUUAGUCACAAAGUUCAGGGUCUUUCCCGACAAAGGCUCAUCAAGACUAUGAGGUCUUUCCCUAACGACCAAAUCAUCACGAUUACCUUUCCUGAUGAUGCAUCACAGAAAAUGACACUUUUCUUGAUGAGAAUUUCACUAGUUGUCGGGAAAACCUUUUGCUGACGGCGUAUGAGUGACCAAUAUUCCCUGACAAUAUUGACGUCACGAAAACCUUUCCUGACAAAAUAUGUAACUUUUCUUGACAAAAAUUGUUGUCACUAGAAAUUUUUUUUUUGGUUGUAGUGUAACUUCUUUCCAUCAAACCUUCUCACCUCUGGAACUAAAGUAUCACCACAUCCAGUUUUCUUCAAGCAAGUCUUGUACCUUGAUAGCUCUCCAUUACCAGCUACCAUGCUCCCCUCCAAUUCUUCCCCAUCCAUGCUACUUUCUACAAGCUUGGCACAAGCCACUCUAUUUUCAGCAUGCUACAAGAAGAAAAGGCUCAAUAUUUGAUUUAUUUUGUUAAACACUUCCAAAAAACAGAUAAAAAAAGAAAAGCCAUUGAAACAGGCAAAUAGACUUGCAGUCAACAUUUUUUACCUUCAUUUCCACAUUCCGAGAAUUGUAUAGCACUCUGGUGGGCAAAAUCACAGAUAACUACCUUCCAUCUUCAAAACUUGAUUGAUAAGUGAAAACAACUUCUCCCUCUUGACAUUCUCAUAAGAACAACACGAGAACCUUGGUGUUCUUUGUCCAAAAAGCAUGAUCUCUACUUCCUAAACAAAUUCUGGAAAAAAAAAAAUCAUAAUAUUACGUCACAAUGCUACUUCAGUUAUGACAUUAAGUAGAAGCAUGAGCCACGGAAAGGUUUGGUCUGGUAACUAGUGCAACAAUUUAUCACUCAAAUCCUAAAGAGUCAACAAAUUAAGCCAAAUUCCAUUGAUUAAGCCAUAAAGAAAAUACACUAGUGUAGAUACCACCCUGCAUUUGGCACAAUUACAUGACUCAAACAUACUUGCAAACUUGGACCAAUUCCCUUGUACUUCUAGUAAGUUGGGUGGAGACACUUCCAAACCACUUACCUCCUCAUCUUUCUUCAAAAACGAUUGGAAACCAUUGCUUGAUGCUGCAGUUGGAGAAUGUGAAAAGUGCAAUAAGAUGCUUUAGAGGUUCCAGGCUGACUGUGCCUUGAGCACGCUUUUGAGCCUUCCAUUGCUUGCAGGCAAAUGUUUCAGCACUGUCAUUGCUUGCUGCUUCACCGACACUUGUUGCCUGCAAGGCCAUAAUAUUAUCAAUCCAAUUCACAAAAUAGAAAAAGAGCACCCUAGUUAUAGUGUCUGAACUUUAAAAAUUUCCAAAGAUGAUAAAAAUUUAUAGUUUUAACGGCACCCUAGUUCCUCUGCAAACAAUUUCAACUCGAUCGACAUUGAGCUAAUUUUAUGGCAAUCAUAACGCAGAGCCCUACGGAAGAGAUAAUAGUGAAGAUUAAGAACAUAUCCAUCCAUUAAAUGCUAGCGGUAACAAAAAAAAAUUGUAAUGUUCUCCCAAAUUGCUAUUUCAUUGGUUUUAAGGUUGUUUGGAAAUAUCAGUGACAGGAAAAAAUAAGAACAUACCCCAUUGAAGCUGAAUGGUUACGCUUGCAAUGUUAGUGAAUUUCAUGGACAAAUAGUCAGUACCAAGUUCACAUGUAGUAGUGAAUUUUACCAUGCUCAUUAAUCCUUUGGAUGGUUUAGAAAAGCAGAUGAAAUCCACAAUUUUAUUGUCUUUCAAUUUGCUCGUAACUCUAAUUUGUUAAUGGCAAGAAUUAGCUUAAAAAUUGAAUGAGAAAGUAAUCUUCGCCAGAAGAAGUAGAGGAAUAGAUAUUUAUGGAGAGAAAGAGUGAGGGACAAAUACGGGUAGAAUAAGAUGAUCCAAUAAUGAGAAGCAGUUAAUUAAAAUUUUGAGAUGAAAUCUUACCGGAUGGCUCAGAAAUACCGAAAAUCAAUUUUACGCUCCGGAAUAUCAGAGAUCUUGGGCCACUCGGAGCCGCUUUGAGGAGUGCAUCUUCGAUUUAAUAGAGGACAAAACCAAAUUUCCAGACGUCUUAAUUUGAGGCGUUCCAUGGCGGCCAUGGAGGGUAAGUAUUCAAGCUUUGGGCAACCCGAUAGGAUUAGGUCUUCAAGAGAUGCAAAAUUCCCAAGCCAUUCUGGUAAGGCUUCGAUUGCUCCGAAGUCACCUAGAGACAGUGAUGUGAUGGUAGUCAAGCAUUGAAGCUGAUGUGGCAGAGACUUCAUGUCGGGCAUUCCACAUAAAGACACGCACCGGAGUGUUGAUGAAGAUGCUAACCCAGCCCAAUCAAAUUUGAUUACAGAGUCAUCUGUAAAGGGACCAAUCUGCACUUCCCUUAAGCUGGUAAGAUAGCCAAAAUCCACUAGGCAUCUCAGCAAUCAAGUUGGGACAGUCGAAUAAUUUGAAGCUCGCGAGAGAAGGGGUUCGUCGCAAAUCAAGGGGAAAGGAGACCAGACUGUGCCAAUUGUACAAAUUCAGCUCUCGGAGAGACGUACAUGACUCGAACAUCUCCACUGGCAAUGUUGUUAAUUCAUGGCACCCAUAGGUAAGAAGCAUCUCGAGAGACUUAAGGAGGCUUUUCUGUCCUGUAUUAUGAUUUGGAUAUCCAAAUGAAUUGAUUCUCGGGCAGUCACCUACAGUCAAGCACCGUAAAGCUUGAAAUUGAUAGAGAUCAUCUGGCAACUCCCGUAAAUUCUCACAAUAAUGGACUGCCAAACUCUCAAGACAAGCGGCGCAACUCAUUCCUCUUAAUGUUAUUAUAUUAGGGCAACGAAACAAUCUUACAUCCUGAAGAAUUGGAAAGAGGCAGAGUCGCUCAAGCAUGUCAGUGGGUAGACUGUCACAGCCCUCAAUCUCAAGCUGCUCUCUGGUCGUUUCACUAAUUCUAGAGACUCGAUGCUUUGUAGACCACCCCUUAAAUAAAGGGAAGAAAGUGUGGUUAUAUUGCUCAAAACCUUUUCCGCCACCAAAACGUGGCAAUUCCAUUUGAUUUCCAAUACAUCAAGACUUGGGAAACGACUUGGAGUUGGAAUGGUGGUCAGCUUGGGGCAAUCGCUAAUAUACAACUUUUCCAGCACAGGAAACACAUCCAUCACACGUACUUCACCUGCGUUUGACAUCAUUUCGGGUGCGUCCUUCCACUCUUCCAAAAUUUUCAUGCUUUCAAGAGAGAGAAUUUUGAGGGAUGGAAAGAAUGUUUGUCUGCUAAUAGUGUCUGAACCUCCUGAUCCGCCAUCCUCCUCAGCACUUGCACUGUAGAAUGAAAGCCCAAUGCUUGUUGUGUUGUCCAAUCUAGUCAGAUAGAGGCACUUGAGGAACGGCAGCUGUCCAAGUGCAGGGAGUUUUCUGCAUCUUGUGCAAUCCUCCACCCGCAACUCCACCAGUGAUGUCAAUGUCAAAUUCAUGAACCAUUGUGGGAACUGAUCACCCAUGAACUUCAAAAUUUGUAACUCUUUUAAAUUUGGGUGAGGCUGGAGACCUUCCAACACAUCUUCAUCACAUUUAUCACUUUCGAUCCCUAUUGCCCCACUCAAACACCAACCGAUACAUAUUUGGCUUUUAGAUAGGUUCGCUAGUUCAGCAUCAUCUUUGCCAUUUACUAAUUCAAGAUUUCUGAUCUCCAAGGUGCCUUUAAGAUCUUGCAAGGUUCCAAGUUCUUGGAUACCACGACCUUCCUCUUGAUGACCUAUGUUAAAGAACUCUAAUGUUUGAAGACAAGUCAAUCGUCCAAUCCUGGAUGGCAUUUGGAUUUUGCGCCCUGCAUGAUCAUAAUAGUGAAGAUGUCUCAAGCUAAUCAAAUUGCUCAUCUUCUUUGGCAAACCUUCUUCAAGCAUGUUAAUUCUCAGUGUUUGCAAACUAUAAAGUUUGCAAAGAGAUUUUGGCACAGUUGUAAUCCUAGAACCUGAAAUGUCAAGUAAGUGUAAAUGUAUUAGUUUGCCAAUGGAGUUCGGCAACUUUUUGGCAUCUGCUCCAAACAAUUUUAGGACAUGCAAGUAUUGAACUUUGAUAACAUAUCAUCAGCUAUGCCACCCUCCAGAAAUAAUGUGCGAAGUGAUUCUGAUUUUUUUUCAUUGAUGGUUUCUACCGCCAGGUAACGGUCCCAUUGCUGCUGUUACGAUUCAAAAUUGAUUUUGCAAAAUCAUGCACAAGAUCAUGCAUUUUAUAUGAUGUUUUCCACUCCUUUUUUACUUCUUCCAAUAAGGAAGUUUGCAGCAAAGUUUUCAGAUACUUAUAUCUCUUUUCUCCAUUCUUUCAUUUUGGGAAUCGGUUGAGAAAAGCCUUCAGCCAUCCAAAGCUCAACUAGUGAUCUUGUUCCAAUUCAGUAUCUUGAUCAAAAAUUGAGCAAUAUGCAAAACAUUUCUUAACCGGUGCAGGUGAGAGAUGAUCAAAACUCACCUUAAUUAUUGCUCGAUCCCACCCUGAUCUCCAUUCAAGAGACUCUCCUCCAAAAUAGAUAGCCACUCCUCUUUCUCUUUUAGAUAACAAUCCUCCAAUUAGCUUUGCUGAGAGAGGUAGACCGUCACAUCUUCUUAAAACUUGCUCCCUUAUGUCUUCCAAUUC